AACUCCCAUGUGUCCUCGGGAGCGCUUUGCUUUAUUGAAGAGUUUGUCCAGGCUUGUCCUUUGCUAGAAAAAGGAUAGGGCCACCUUUCUGCACCUUAGUUACUUUUGUUACUUGCUAUCCGUUAGGAAUUACCUUAUCACAAAACUAUCUGUUACCGAUAAUUUUAGUGCUUGCAGAGAAUACCUGACUAAAAACCGCUUGUCAUUUCCUUUUGCUCCUCGUUGGGUUCGACACUCUUACUUAUCGAAAGGACUAUGAUAGAUCUCCUAUACUUGUGGGUCAUCAGGCAUCAAGCCCGGCUUAUGGUUCCUUUGAAGCGAACGCCGGGUUGUUGGGUUGAGGAAGUACCUUUAGUGCUUUGGAGUAUUAAUACCACCCAAUAGGACAACAUGCUAUACGCCUUUCUUCAUGGUCUAUGGGGUCGAGGCGGUUCUCCCUAGUGAUAUCCGUCAUGACUCGCCUAGGGUGGAGGCUUAUGUUGAAGCUGAUAAUGAGAUGGCGUGUCAGAACACAUUUGAUAUUUUGGAUGAGGAGCGUGACAUUGCGGCGGCUCGUUCGGCGAUAUAUCAGCAAGAUCUACGUCGCUAUCAUAGCCGUAGAGUUCGCACCCGGACCUUUCAAGAGGGCGACUUAGUGCUCCGUUUGAUUCAAGACCAAACAGGGACGCAUAAGCCCCCCCCCCUUUGGAAGGGCCUUUUGUGGUCUACACAAAUCAUAACAAUGGGUCUUAUUACCUCAUCGAUGUGCGAGAGUACAAGGAUUCUAGCAAGUCGGAAGGGGAGACGCGUUGGCCGUGGAACAUUGCUCAUCUUCAUCCUUAUUACACUUGAGCCAUUGGAUCUUAUCAUUUUACAUAUUUCUAUCGACGUAUAUAUCUUCUUAUGAUCAAUAUAAUAAACCCGACAUCCCUGAAAAAAUGCAGGGCCUCUGUCGUUUCAUUUCUGUGUAUCUAGUCUUUGUUAAUUGGUCAUAAGGUCACUUGGGGGCUUCCAACCCAUCGAGUUUAGCUUUCGUACCCUCUUGACCGGCCUGAGUUGCCAUAUUAUGAGAUACACCUACUUGUUUGCAACUUGCUACUCCCCCAGGUGAACCACCGAACUCUUAACAGUCAAUCUUUUUUCAGACCCUGAACUUGUUAAGGUUAAAAUGGCGGCUUGUGUCACGUGAGAGUCGGCUUAUAGUGUGCUAGGAUAAACGAUGGGAUGGACAUGAUCGUCGUCAGGAGUGGCGCGACCAGCCUCGUGAGGACCGCUGGCAGGACCAGCCUCGCGGGGGCAACUAGAGGGAGCAGCCUCGUGAGGAUCGCCCUCAGGGCAAUGCAGCCUUGCCUCCUCUGGCUCCACCACCAAGAAGGAAUGAAGAUCACCACCAGGACGAGGGGGCUGGGGGCUUCCAGGAGCCGUGAGCCAUCGCCUGCAUCUUGGGCAGCUCACAAGCCCCAGCUUCUCACCGUGUCUUCAAGUAGUUUGCGCGCGAGGUCAAUGCGGCGCUCCCCAAGCUUGAGGCAACUCGCCCUCUCAAGUGGUCCAAUUGCGCCAUCACCUUUGACUCCUCAGACCGGCUCAAGUGUGCGGCCACUGCUGGCGCACUCCCCAUGCUCUGCUUCCCCGUCAUCAGCAACGUGACCGUCACCAAGACCCUCAUUGAUGGCAGAGCAGGGCUCAAUGUUCUCUCUCUUUAGACAUUCGACAGACUCCAAGUGCCAUAGUAUCAGCUGCACCCCACCAAGCCAUUCUCAGGAGUGACCAAUGGAUCGACACACCCGAUCGAACAGGUUCGCCUCCCAGUCACCUUCGGCGAGCGCAACAACUACCGCACCAAGCUCAUUGACUUCGACAUCGCCGACAUCCGCCUGCCCUACAACGAUAUCCUUGGGUACCCAGUACUGGCCAAAUUCAUGGUGGCCAUGCACCACGGCUACAACAUCCUCAGGAUGCCAGGAAGCGGCGGCAUCAUCAUGGUCGCCUGUCAGGAGAAGGAUGUAGUGUGCUCCCUCGAGCGCGCUUUCCAGGCUGCAGCAAUUGAGAACACAGAAGACGAAGACGGCGGCCUCCCUCCUGAGGUCGCCCCCAAGACGAAGAAGCUGCAGCUACACCAGGGGUCUCGUGAGGGAGCAUCACACGGGGACGUAGCACUGAGUCUCGCGUCUCCGGACGCGGCACCUUCACCCAUCGCAUAGGAAAGCGCUCCCGGCGCCCCUCUCAGGCUGGGCUCGGGGGCUCUCCUCUGGAGGGCCUCAGACCUAGCCAAUGUCGCGAGGGCGGCGCUCGGGCACCAUGUGGAGGCGCUCUUCAGAGCACGCUUCCCAGGAGAAGGUAGCAGGUGUGAGGCACCAGGCAUUCAGGAGUUCAUUAGCGACGCGAUCGAGGAGAUUCAGGAAGGAAGGGUUCUGCAAGGCGAUCAUCGCCUACCGCGAGGCGGAGCUCGCUGCCCUAGCGAGGGUAGAGAGUUUCGUGUCUGCAUCGACAUCCCUGGGCUCAACAGGGCCACAGCUCGGCAUCUCAUGUGGCCGUCUCGUGUUGGCCGAUGCGAGGGACCGCCUCACAGCUACGUCUACAUGCCUUUUGGCCUGGCGGGCGCGGCCGAGGCGUUCUAGCGCUGCAUGAGGGACGCUCAAGUGGCCUGUGAGGCCAGGCGCCAGGCGAUCCUGGCGGAGAUGGAGGAGCACCCUCAGGAGCCUUCUGGUUCCUCCGAGCCUCCCGAGGCCCGGCACCGGAGCGGCUCAUGAGGAACGGCUUCAUCAGCAUGCGUUUUUUUUUUGCUACUUCAACAACUCUUCAGCAACGGUAUCAGGUGACAUCUCCCCAGUUCGUUCAGUUUGGGGGUGCCCCUCGGACUGCAUCAUCCCCAGGCCGUGUGGGUCUAUCCCUACGGCGUGUAUCCCUUUUGCAUUUUAUCAGAGCUAGUUACAAUCCUUUGCAAGCUACUUUCGAGUUACCGACUGCCUGACCGGCGCUUCGUCGCUAAGAACGUCUCGCGCACUUGCAAGCCCUCCCACGACCGCCUCAUGAUUAAGGACUGGCACAACGUCUGUGCUCGGGUCCGUCCCUGCAGCAUCGCUAAACCCAAGCAGCUGAGCUCUGGCUCACGGACCGGUCCCAUGUACGUCACCUCACAUGGCUCUUGGUGCCUUGUUCUCGCAUGAGCUAAUUGUGAUGGUAAGCAAGGGCGCGCGACCUGGUGCCCCCGUGGCCACGGGAACCACGCACCGGUUGUUUUUCUUUAGGAUCUUUAGAUGAGAAGACUGGGCACGGCAUCUGUGCUCGGGUCCGUCCCUGCAGCAUCGAUAAAUCCAGUGGCUGAGCUCUAUAUGGCGGGCCGGCCCCGUUCACAUCACCUCCUAGGGUCGUUGGUGUCUGGCCUUCUCAUGCAAUAACCUCAGGAAACUCAUCCGGCGCAGGCUGCCUAACCAUCUCGCGGGACCAAUCCAAGCACCCCCAAUGAAGACCAGGCACAACCCGCCUUGAGGUAGGGCUUCGUGAGUCCCGCGCUGGCUCACGGGUGCCCAUAUACACCUCCUCCAGCCCUGCCAUGCAAGCCACAUGUCAGGGCGGGGCUAUACACGCCCCGGGGGCUCUCCUCAGAGGGAGCCUCCUCCCACGCACCAGUGGAAGCACCAUGCUCCGUGCUAGCCAUCGACACUGCCGAGGAGCGGCUAUGCCCAUGCAAGAGCGGAAGCGCUAUGCUCCGCGCUGGUGAUAAACAACUGGGGGUGGCCUCAUCGCCGCAUUAACCUCAGGGAGCCUCCGGGCUCAGUGACUAGCCUCACCGCGCUACUCUCCCUCGGGAGGAUAGCGCGAGGGGGCUGGGCAUGGGGGCUACGCUUAGGUCACGCCUGGCGUACCCCACCUCGCCAGGCCUCACAUGCCUGGUCUUCGUGCACCCCUGUCACGCCCAAUAUGCGACCCUAUCCAAAAGGAACUCGAAGGUCCCACCAAGGAUAGACCCGCAUAUUGAAACGCUUUUGCAAGGUGGAUAUCAUUACAUCAACAUUACAUAAUAGAUGGGGAUACAUACAAGAGGCAUACAAUGCCACACGAAUACAACAUCACAGUACAUCAGAGCAUCAUCUGACUACGGAUGAAACACAAACAGAAACUCAAACGACAUCCACCCAGCUAGCCCAGGCUGCCGACCUGGAACCUAUCCCCUGAUCGAAGAAGCAGAAGAAGAACUCAACGCAAGCAAGCAUCGCUCUCGCGUCAUGAUCAUCGCAUAACCUGUACCUGCAACUGUUGUUGUAGUAAUCUGUGAGCCACGAGGACUCAGCAAUCCCAUAACCAUGGGUAUCAAGACUAGCAAAGCUUAAUAGGAAAGGAAGGGGUAAAGUGGUGAGGCUGCAGCAGCGACUAAGCAUAUAUGGUGGCUAACAUACGUAAAUAAGAGCGAGGAGAGAGCAAGAGGAACGGUCGUCAACUAGUAAUGACCAAGAAGUGAUCCUGAACUCCUACUUACGUCAAACAUAACCCAAAAACAGUGUUCACUUCCCGGACUCCGUCGAGAAGGGACCAUCACGGCUACACACGCGGUUGAUGCGUUUUAAUUCGGAUCUGGUGUCAAGUUAUCUACAACCGGACAUUAACAAAUUCCCAUCUGCCUAUAACCGCAGGCAUGGCUUUCGAAAGAUUAUACCCUCCAGGGUGUCCCAACUUAGCCCAUGACAAGCUCUCGUGAUCAACGAAGGGUAUACCUUCUCCCAGGAAGACCCAAUCAGACUCGGAAUCCCGGUUUACAAGACAUUUCGACAAUGGUAAAACAAGACCAGCAAGACCGCCCGAUGCGCCGACAAUCCCGAUAGGAUCUGCACAUAUCUCGUUCUCAGGGCAACAUCGGAUGAGCAAUCCGUACAACUAAAACUAGACCUCAAGUUUCCCUGAGGGGGUGCUGCAAAGGGCUCUAGUUCGGACCAACACUUAGACAAGCACUGGCCCGGGGGGGCUAUAAUAAAGAUGACCCUCGAGAGAGCGACUCCCAAGGGAAAAUGUAGGUGGUGGUGAGGCAAAUGGUAAAACCAAGGUUGGGCCUUGCUGGAGGAGUUUUAUUCAAAGCAAACUGUCAAGGGGGUCCCAUAAAUCACCCGACCAUGUAAGGAACGCAAAAUCCGGGAACAUAACACCGGUAUGACAGAAACUAGGGCGGCAAGAGUGGAACAACACACCAGGCAAAAGGCCGAGUCUUCCACCCUUUACCAAGUAUAUAGAUGCAUUAAUAAUAUAAGAGAUAUUGUGAUAUCCCAACCAAAAUCCUGUUCACCAUGGAGAAAUCUUCAAAUUCACCUGCAACUAGCAACGCUAUAAGAGGGGCUGAGCAAAAGCGGUAACAUAGCCAAACAACGGUUUGCAUAGGAAGGGUGUCAAAGGUUAGAGGUUCAUGGCAAUAUGGGAGGCUUGAUAAACAGGUGAUAGGUAGCGCAGCAAAGCGAUAGAACGAAGCAACUAGCAUAGCAAUGAUAGUAGUGAGAUCCAGGGAAAUGGUCAUCUUGCAUGAAAUCCCGCAAGGAAGAAGAACGAGUCCAUGAAGAAGAUGAAGCCACGAAGACGAACCAAGCGUAGACGAAUGAAUCCUCACGAUCGCAAUGUAACGGGAACUAUCAAGAAGAAGCACACAACAUAGUAAACACACCACACAUGAACAAGGCAUGAUGCACGAACAAGCAUGAUGCAAGGCAAGACUACAUGAAGCUACUCAUGGCAAGAGAUGAUGCAAACAAGAACAACACAUCAAGGCAAGUUUAAAUGAGGCCGGGAACAACAUAUAACAAUUCCGGUAAGUCCUCAUAUGCAUAUUUCGAAAUUGGUCCAGAUCUGAAUAAACCUUAUGUUCAAGUUGUUAAACAGCAAGUUAAGAUGCACAACGAUGAUCUACACGAGAUUCUAGUCAAGUUACAUAUAAAGUUCAUUUAGUUCGAAGCUACGGCCUAGAAGAUAUGAGCAAUACAAGUUAAACAUGGCAUUGAUGCAAAAUGCACCCAAACAUCAAGCAAACACCUCAAAACAAGGAUGCAACAUGAUAAUAUGAAACUACAUGCAAUUCUAAGCAAGUUUCAUAUAGAGCACACUCAAAAUGGAGCAACGGUUCAACACAUGCACACUAUACAAGUUUAAAGGACAACCUGUCCAAAACAGCAACUAGGCAUAUUGCAAGCAUCAAAACAACAUGCUACAGCAUCUCAACAUGAAAAAAAAGGCAUGGGCAUGAUUUACAGGUAAUGCAUAACAAAACAUGAACACUGAGCUAUCUCCAGAAAUCACUAGAACAUGCUCAAACACACAUGGCAAGAUUGCGAAUAAUAACAAUUUCGGACUUUGCAGAAAAUAACAUCAGGUUGCAACGUUUAGAGCUAUCAAACAACAUGUUACAGGAACUUAUAAUGGCAAACAAAGGCAUGGAAUGAAACUACUAAAUGCAUAGAUCAAAAGUCCUUUAGUGACCAUGAGCCAAAAAGGAUCAGAAGAAAUAAUGGCACCCAUGUAAACAUGGCAAGUUAUAUUACAGAUUCAUACAUGGCAGGAACAGAAUUAUGAAGGCAUGUAAAUAAGCUUGUGCAACUCUCUACAGAGCAAUACAUGGCAUGGCAAGGCAACCAACAGUAAGAAGACAUGUUUGUGCAGCUAAGCAUGGCAAGAGCAAGGUCAUAGGGUCCAUGGAACACUAGCAACAAUCAUGGCAACAACUGAACAUAAUGUUAACAGGCUGACAGCAACAUUAUCAAGCAACUUUGGAGCAAGAUAUGAACAAGCUACAGCAAGCUAUAAAUGCAACCAGGGGCAUGGAUGAAUAGAGCAUGACAUGUAGAACAAAACACAUUUAGUGAAUAUCUCCAGAUUAUGCAUAGAAUGAUUAGUAGCAACAUGUUUAUAUAGCAUCACGAAAUAAUAGAUUCAGCCUAGCAAAGCAGCAAUAGCAAGUACCCUACUUAACAAGCUCGAUUCACUCACUACAAGUCAUUGCAUGACAAGAUAAGCAUAGCAUCAUCAAGAAUACAUGUUUGUGGAACAAACCAAGUCAAGAACAAGUUCAUAGCAUGCAAGGACCAACUACAACAACCUUGGCAAAAUUGAAUAACAAGUAAACAAUCUGCUAGGAAAUAUUUUGAAGCAAAAGUAGAGCACAAAAAUGACAUGCUAGACUACUCCAUAAUUGCAACCAAGGGCAUGAAUGGAUAGAAAAUAAUCUUAUGUUCAAAACAUCCUUACUGAAGUAUCUCUAAAUAUGCAUGGAUCUCUUUGUAGCAACAUGUUUACAUGGCAUCAAAAUAACAGCAGAACAGGGACUAAAAUUAGCAACAUCAUGAUGCCUAGUUUGCAUGCUUGUGCUAGUCACCAUAUUGAUCACAAAAAUACAUGGCAUACACCAUUGUAAAGAAGGCAUAUCAUAGUUCAAAACACAUGUAGUCAUGAACCUCAUAGGAUGCACACAUCAAUCAUGGCAAAAAUGACAAAUGAGCUCGCUCUGUUAACAGACAGCAUAAAACAUCAUGAAGCACUCUUGCAACGAUGACUCAGGCAUCAAGAUGACCUCAAAUGAAUAUGAUGCAAUGGUAUGAAAUGAUGUACUCGUUGAGACGAACAAUUUGACAUAUUACACGCACAAAAAGGAGCUACGGAUGCAGAGAUACGAUGCGAUGAACAUGGCAUGAUUAUGCAAAAUACUCGGGGACUUAGCAGAAAACGGGGUCAACCUAGGGCUCGCACGGGAAUCGAGGAUGGCCGGAGAUGCUUGCCAUAGACGACGGAGAUGGCUGGAUCUGGCGCGAGGGGGCCUCCUCCGGCCGGAUCUCGCCGGAUCCGGCGCGGGGAGAGGUGGAACGGCGAGGGCGGCUGCGGGGCGAGGACACCGGCGGCGGCGAUGACGUGUCGCACCCUGAUUGGGCGAAACGACGUGUCCGGCGGACAUGUCCGGCGGCGCGAAGGAGUUUUGCUAGGGUUUGGACUGCGGGAAUUUCGGGGGAGGCCACAUAUAUAUAUGUAGAGGGAGCUAGGAGAGUCCAAAUGAGGAGCGGUUUUCGGCCACGCGAUCGUGAUCGAACGACCGAGAGCAUGGAGGGGAGUUAGAUGGGUUUUGGGCCACUUUGGAAGGGUGUUGGGCUGCAAAGAGAGAGGGGCUUUACGGUUACCCGGUUAACCGUUGGAGUACCAAACGAACUCCAAAUGGCAUGAAACUUGACAGGCGGUCUACCGGUGCUAUACCAAGGUCGCUUGGCAACCUCGGGCCAUUCCGAGAACGUUUAACACCCGCUCACAACGAGAGGCAAAAGGGGAACGCCGGAGAGCAUAAGAGCGCCGGAUUGCAAAACGGAGAACGGGGAAAAUGCUCGGAUGCAUGAGACGAACACGUAUGCAAUCCAAUGCACAAGAUGACAUGAUAAAAUGCAACACGCAAGCAGAUGACAUGGCAACGACGGCGAACAACUGGCAGACACCUGGCGCAUCGGAUCCGGGGCGUUACAACACUCCUCCACUAACAAGAGAUCUCGUCCCGAUAUCUUAGGACCGAGACGGAAGGGAAAAGGGAUGAGGAGAAACAAGAACUCAAGAGAAGAAGCAAAGAAUCGAGAGCACUCGAGAAGAAAAGAGGAACGACGAGAAUGGCGAGAAUUGAAAGCUCAUGGAAUCAUAUAGACUAUGAAACCACUCCGGUUAGAACGAGAUAGGGAACGAAUAAGACUGAAAGGAUUUAGGCAGCACUCCUUCUGAAAAUGGAAGGAAUAGAACAUGAACUUCACAAGAUGGAAUGACACUUGAUGAGAUGAACAACGCUAAGCCUCCGGAAGAAUUAAAAGAAUGAAAUGAAAUGAACUUAGAAGGAAGAAUUGAACGGAGUUGUUGAGAAAAUCAACAACGAAAGAAUAAGCUUGUUGUGGACUUAUGGAUAACAUCUCAAAAAUUAUGAGGUGGUAACCGACCACAAACGAAAAUGAUUGGAUAGCUGAGAAGAACGAAGAAAUGCAAAACUCCACUUCAAAAGAAAAUGAAGAAUUACUUGCGCUUCGAGACGCGAGAAGAAAAGAUACUUGAACUCCACCGAAAAAAAUCUUGAUGAACACUUGAAGAAUGAAUUAAAUCAUGAAGAACCACCAUGAAGAACUCCGGUAACAAAAGAUGAUGAGAUAGAACUGAAGGAUGAAAAGGAUAAGAUUAAAGCCUUGCGAUGAUUUAGGUGGAGGUUCCGACGAAAUGGCUGAGGAAAAUUUGAACUCCGGAAAAGAAAAGAUGAAAACACUUGGAACUAGAAUUUAUUCAUCAUGAACAAACUCCGAAGGAAGGGAUUACUCACUUUGAGGAAAUAAGAAUAAGAUUUAUUGUAUGCUUAUCCUUCAUCAAAUUAAAUUGAUGACAAGCAAUGGAUUUUUCAUACUACUUAUUCUUCUUGAAAAGGAUUGAGAAGUGACAUAUCGCAAACUUGAGAAGGUCUUCAUGAACCACCGGAAGGAUUGAAAAGAACCAAUGAAUUAAUAUGAUGAACAAGGAAAAAGAAUCUUCGACGAACCACCAUAAGAAUUCGAAAAAUGACUGAUGAAAGAGACUUAAUCACCGGGAAGAAUUAGAAGAACAAAUAAGCUAGAGGGGAUUUGGAUGCAAGAGAACUGGAAGAACUUGAGCUGAUUAAAGAACACUUGAACGAAGCACCGGGAUAAUUGGAUAACGGUAACUGAAAUGUGAGGACAAGAAUUCUUAUGGAACGAUGGCCUCCGAAAAACAACUCCUGACAAACUCCGGAUGGUUAAGAAAGAAUAUCUGACAAACUGAAAUAAUUCGAGAGGAUGAUAUGAAGCUAGAACCACGAAACUUUGAGAGAACAGACAAGAUUGAGAGGGAAAACUCUUCUUCUGUCUUCAAAUGACGAGGAGAAACACCACCAAAAUUGCUGAGAAACUCCGGGAUAAUGAAAAAGAGGAAAGGUAGAACCCGAGAUGCAAAGAAUUUGAAAGCGAUCUUGGAGAUGGCAUCUGACAGAUGAAAUCCAUUCUUACGUCAAACUUCAAAAAGGAUUUGAGAAUAGCUCCGGGAAAUUAGAAGGGUCAGGUAAGAUCCUGGGAAAAGACCUGUGGGUUAGGGCCUAUUGAAGAGAAAACACCGUUGAAAAGGAUGAUGAACAUAUAGAUGAAGCACCGGAACAAUUGAGAUAUUUUUAAUGAGGUGACAACCUCGAAUUAAUUGGAACACAGACGAAUCUCCUGAGAUGUCUUCCGAACUCCGGAAUGAUUGAAUAGCGAGAGGCAAACGAGCAGGGAAAACACUUGAGCCAAGGAAAAGAAUAUAAUCGCUACCAAAAAUUAGAAUUGAAUCCACCGGAAAGGAAAAGAGAUGAAGAAUGACGAACAAGACGAGAAUUCACCGGUUGAAAUCAUUGAGGAAAGAAAGCAAAGACUUCGCACGAGUAGGAUGGAUACUCAAUUACGAACUCCAGUUUCGAGAAGAAGAAGGGUGGGCAGGUGGGAAAAGAAAACAACUGAGGAUUGAACUUGGCAAAGAUGAAGAGGCUCGAGUCAACUUGACGAGAAAUGCACCGGAUGAAAAGAGCUGGGGAACCCACGAUCGGAAAACCAACUGCGUGAUCCAAAAGAAAAAUUUGAAGGGGAAGAGAAGUAAUUCAAACACCUAUGUCAAGAUUCCUUACCAGAGCGACGAAGGGGCAGAGGAGUAAAAAGAAUUCCUACUCUCCAAUAUAAAAAGACUCUGAAAACAGUUUUCUUCUAGACUCAACAACGGCCAAACUACACGAUCAAUCAACGGGGCUCCUAAGGUCGGUCGAGGCUCUGAUACCAACUUAUCACGCCCAAUAUGCGACCCUAUCCAAAAGGAACUCGAAGGUCCCACCAAGGAUAGACCCGCAUAUUGAAACGCUUUUGCAAGGUGGAUAUCAUUACAUCAACAUUACAUAAUAGAUGUGGAUACAUACAAGAGGCAUACAAUGCCACACGAAUACAACACCACAAUACAUCAGAGCAUCAUCCGACUACGGAUGAAAUACAAACAGAAACUCAAACGACAUCCACCCUGCUAGCCCAGGCUGCCGACCUGGAACCUAUCCCCUGAUCGAAGAAGCAGAAGAAGAACUCAACGCAAGCAAGCAUCGCUCUCGCGUCAUGAUCAUCGCAUAACCUGUACCUGCAACUGUUGUUGUAGUAAUCUGUGAGCCAUGAGGACUCAGCAAUCCCAUUACCAUGGGUAUCAAGACUAGCAAAGCUUAAUAGGAAAGGAAGGGGUAAAGUGGUGAGGCUGCAGCAGCGACUAAGCAUAUAUGGUGGCUAACAUACGCAAAUAAGAGAGCAAGAGGAACGGUCGUUAACUAGUAAUGACCAAGAAGUGAUUCUGAACUCCUACUUACGUCAAACAUAACCCAGAAACCGUGUUCACUUCCCGGAGUCCGCCGAGAAGGGACCAUCACGGCUACACACGCGGUUGAUGCGUUUUAAUUCGGAUCUGGUGUCAAGUUAUCUACAACCGGACAUUAACAAAUUCCCAUCUGCCUAUAACCAUAGGCACGGCUUUCGAAAGAUUAUACCCUGCAGGGGUGUCCCAACUUAGCCCAUGACAAGGUCUCGCGAUCAACGAAGGAUAUACCUUCUCCCAGGAAGACCCGAUCAGACUCGGAAUCCCGGUUUACAAGACAUUUCGACAAUGGUAAAACAAGACUAGCAAGACCGCCCGAUGCGCUGACAAUCCCGAUAGGAGCUGCACAUAUCUCGUUCUCAAGGCAACACCGGAUGAGCAAUCCAUACAACUAAAACCAGACCUCAAGUUUCCCUGAGGGGGCGCUGCAAAGGGCUCUAGUUCGGAACAACACUUAGACAAGCACUGGCCCGGGGGGGCUAUAAUAAAGAUGACCCUCGAGAGAGCGACUCCCAAGGGAAAAUGUAGGUGGUGGUGAGGCAAAUGGCAAAACCAAGGUUGGGCCUUGCUGGAGGAGUUUUAUUCAAAGCGAACUGUCAAGGGGGUCCCAUAAAUCACCCGACCGCGUAAGGAACGCAAAAUCCGGGAACAUAACACCGGUAUGACGGAAACUAGGGCGGCAAGAGUGGAACAACACACCAGGCAAAAGGCCGAGUCUUUCACCCUUUACCAAGUAUAUAGAUGCAUUAAUAAUAUAAGAGAUAUUGUGAUAUCCCAACCAAAAUCCUGUUCACCAUGGAGAAAUCUUCAACUUCACCUGCAACUAGUAACGCUAUAAGAGGGGCUAAGCAAAAGCGGUAACAUAGCCAAACAACAGUUUCAUAGGAAGGGUGUAAAAGGUUAGAGGUUCAUGGCAAUAUGGGAGGCUUGAUAAAUAGGUGAUAGGUAGCACAGCAAAGCGAUAGAACGAAGCAACUAGCAUAGCAAUGAUAGUAGUGAGAUCCAAGGAAAUGGUCAUCUUGCAUGAAAUCCCGCAAGGAAGAAGAGCGAGUCCAUGAAGAAGAUGAAGCCACGAAGACGAACCAAGCGUAGACGAACGAAUCCUCACGAUCGCAACGUAACGGGAACUAUCGAGAAGAAGCACACAACAUAGUAAACACACCACACAUGAACAAGGCAUGAUGCACGAACAAGCAUGAUGCAAGACAAGACUACAUGAAGCUACUCAUGGCAAGAGAUGAUGCAAACAAGAACAACACAUCAAGGCAAGUUUAAAUGAGGCCGGGAACAACAUAUAACAAUUCCGGUAAGUCCUCAUAUGCAUAUUUCGAAAUUGGUCCAGAUCUGAAUAAACCUUAUGUUCAAGUUGUUAAACAGCAAGUUAAGAUGCACAACGAUGAUCUACACGAGAUUCUAGUCAAGUUACAUAUAAAGUUCAUUUAGUUCGGAGCUACGGCCUAGAAGAUAUGAGCAAUACAAGUUAAACAUGGCAUUGAUGCAAAAUGCACCCAAACAUCAAGCAAACACCUCAAAACAAGGAUGCAACAUGAUAAUAUGAAACUACAUGCAAUUCUAAGCAAGUUUCAUAUAGAGCACACUCAAAACGGAGCAACGGUUCAACACAUGCACACUAUACAAGUUUAAAGGACAACCUGUCCAAAACAGCAACUAGGCAUAUUGCAAGCAUCAAAACAACAUGCUACAGCAUCUCAACAUGAAAAAAAAGGCAUGGGCAUGAUUUACAGGUAAUGCAUAACAAAACAUGAACACUGAGCUAUCUCCAGAAAUCACUAGAACAUGCUCAAACACACAUGGCAAGAUUGCCAAUAAUAACAAUUUCAGACUUUGCAGAAAAUAACAUCAGGUUGCAAUGUUUAGAGCUAUCAAACAACAUGUUACAGGAACUUAUAAUGGCAAACAAAUGCAUGGCAUGAAACUACUAAAUGCAUAGAUCAAAAGUCCUUUAGUGACCAUGAGCCAAAAAGGAUCAUAAGAAAUAAUGGCACCCAUGUAAACAUGGCAAGUUAUAUUACAGAUUCAUACAUGGCAGGAACAGAAUUAUGAAGGAAUGUAAAUAAGCUUGUGCAACUCUCUACAGAGCAAUACAUGGCAUGGCAAGGCAACCAACAGUAAGAAGACAUGUUUGUGCAGCUAAGCAUGGCAAGAGCAAGGUCAUAGGGUCCAUGGAACACUAGCAACAAUCAUGGCAACAACUGAACAUAAUGUUAACAGGCUGACAGCAACAUUAUCAAGCAACAUUGGAGCAAGAUAUGAACAAGCUACAGCAAGCUAUAAAUGCAACCAGGGGCAUGGAUGAAUAGAGCAUGACAUGUAGAACAAAACACAUUUAGUGAACAUCUCCAGAUUAUGCAUAGAAUGAUUAGUCGCAACAUGUUUAUAUAGCAUCACGAAAUAACAGAUUCAGCCUAGCAAAACAGCAAUAGCAAGUACCCUACUUAACAAGCUCGAUUCACUCACCACAAGUCAUUGCAUGACAAGAUAAGCAUAGCAUCAUCAAGAAGACAUGUUUGUGGAACAAACCAAGUCAAGAACAGGUUCAUAGCAUGCAAGGACCGACGACAACAACCUUGGCAAAAUUGAAUAACAACAAUCUGCCAGGAAACAUUUUGAAGAAAAAGUAGAGCACGAAAAUGACAUUCUAGACUACUCCAUAAUUGAAACCAAGGGCAUGAAUGGAUAGAAAAUAACCACAUGUUCAAAAUAUCCUUACUGAAGUAUCUCUAAAUAUGCAUGGAUCUCUCUGUAGCAACAUGUUUACAUGGCAUCAAAAUAACAGCAGAACAGGGACUAAAAUCAGCAACAUCACGAUGCCUAGUUUGCAUGCUUGUGCUAGUCACCACAUUGAUCACAAAAAUACAUGGCAUACACCACUGUAAAGAAGGCAUAGCAUAGUUCAAAACACAUGUAGACAUCAACCUCAUAGGAUGCACACAUCAAUCAUGGCAAAAAUGAUAAAUGAGCUCGUUCUGUUAACAGACAGCAGAAAACAUCAUGAAGCACUCUUGCAACGAUGACUCAUGCAUCAAGAUGACCUCAAAUGAAUAUGAUGCAAUGGAAUGAAAUGAUGUACUCGUUGAUACGAACAAUUUGACAUAUUACACGCACAAAACAGAGCUACGGAUGCAGAGAUACGAUACGAUGAACAUGGCAUGAUUAUGCAAAAUACUCGGGGACUUAGCAGAAAACGGGGUCAACCUAGGGCUCGCACGGGAAUCGAGGAUGGCCGGAGAUGCUCGCCGGAGACGAUGGAGAUGGCCGGAUUUGGCGCGAGGGGGCCUCCUCCGGCCGGAUCUCGCCGGAUCCGGCGCGGGGAGAGGUGGAACGGCGAGGGCGGCUGCGGGGCGAGGACACCGGCGGCGGCGAUGACGUGUCGCGCCCUGAUUGGGCGAAACGACGUGUCCGGCGGACAUGUCCGGCGCGGAUGGACAUGUCCGGCAGCGCGGAGCAGUUUUGCUAGGGUUUGGACUGCGGGAAUUUCGGGGGAGGCGACAGAUAUAUAGGUAGAGGGAGCCAGGAGAGUCCAAAUGAGGAGCGGUUUUCGGCCACGCGAUCGUGAUCGAACGACCAAGAGCAUGGAGGGGAGUUAGAUGGGUUUUGGGCCACUUUGGAAGGGUGUUGGGCUGCAAAGAGAGAGGGGCUUUAUGGUUACUCGGUUAACCGUUGGACUACCAAACGAACUCCAAAUGGCACGAAACUUGACAGGCGGUCUACCGGUGCUAUACCAAGGCCGCUUGGCAACCUCGGGCCAUUCCGAGAACGUUUAACACCCGCUCACAACGAGAGGCAAAAGGGGAACGCCGGAGAGCAUAAGAGCGCCAGAUUGCAAAACGGACAACGGGGAAAAUGCUUGGAUGCAUGAGACGAACACGUAUGCAAUGCAAUGCACAAGAUGACAUGAUAAAAUGCAACACGCAAGCAGAUGACAUGGCAAUGAUGGUGAACAACUGGCAGACACCUGGCGCAUCGGAUCCGGGGCGUUAGAACCCCUCCCAAGCGAGAGCUCAACCAGAGAAAGGUAGGAGGGUCUGUUCGUAUGUCAAGGGGGACUCCCGAGCAUCGCGACUCAGGAGCCUAACUGGUAACGUAGCCCCUCACCUCUUGGGCUCGUCUUGGUGAUCCGGACGACCCAACGAGAGAUGAGGUAUGCACGGGGUCGGGCGCUGCCGACGCAGAACACCAAGACCUGGUUGUCACCCGUCUCUUUCAAGCCGUUCAUACAUGAAGGGGGACUCCUUAGCAUCGCAACUCAGGAGCCUAAAUGGUUCCGUAGCCCCUCACCUCUUGGGCUUGUCCUGGUGAUCUGGACAACCCAGUGAUGGCUGAGGUAUGCGCGGGGCCGGGCCCUGCCGACGCAGAACAUCAAGGCUUGCCCCUACAUCUUUUCCUAAGUUGUUCGCACGUCAAGGAGGACUCCUGAGCAUCGCGACUCAGGAGCCUACUGGUCACAUAGCCCCUCACCUCUUGGACUCGUCCUGGUGAUCCGGACGACCCAACGAUGGCCGAGGUACGCGCGGGGCCGGGCUCUACCGACGCAGAACAAUAAAGCAAACGGAAAAGCUGAAGGAGCAUAAUCUAGUUAUUACAAGACAAAUUGUUCCAAGAAAAUAGUUUUAAAUGCCUCCCCGAGGCAUGUCGCAUGUUGUAGGAUAAAAAGGCGAAAAGCAAAAUCUCCGAAGCCACCUCUUCAGACUUGGGUGUCACCACCGCUCGCCAGCGGAACCACAUCGCCAGGCGCUUCGCUUGUCCCACCGGCUUCGCUUGGAGGGCCAACCCGCAUGUACUUGUUCAGCAUGGCGUCCAUAGAGCUAUUCACGGCAGUAUCAGCAGCAUCCCGGGAGUCGGCGUCCACCGGAGCAAGGAAGGAGGAGAGGUUGAAGCUGGCAUCCUUGAGAUAAAGGUGGCUGAAGACGCACGUCAGAGCCAAGGAAGAAAGUGAGCAUGCCUCGCCUUCCACCAGGGACGUAAACCCGUCGAUAGCGUCUUCGAGCACCGCCACGACCUCAGGAAGCAGAGAAGCAGGGCUCUCCCUCGGGGUCAUCACCAUUGCCUUUCCCGAGGGACCAUCUCCAAAGAGCGCCUUCUGGGCCUUGAGGAAGUGCGCCUCGAGGGAGGAGAGGGUGUCGCGUUCCAUGGCGGUUGCUUUCUUAGCCUUGGACAGGGUCGCUUGGGCUGCCUUCGCCACCUCCCUCAGCUUCGCCAGGCGAUCGCGCUCCCCGGCUUGCUCUAAGGCUGUCUUCUUCACCUUGACGUCCCGACUGGCAACGGCAGCCUUCUGGGCCUUCAGCUUCUCCUCGCGCUCCCGGAGCUGGCUGGCCUGGGUAGCCUGCUGAUCUUGGAGGAUCUUCAGGUCAGCCUUUAUCGCACAGCACCGGUUCUCAGCUUCUGUGGCCUCCUUCCACGCCAGGUCGCGCACCGUGGCAGCCAUCCCAAGCGCCUUCUAGGCCUCCUCCGCAGAGCCCCAGGCCGCGCGAACAGAAGCGUCGGCCCUAAGCCAACUAGAGAUCAACCCCAGGCGUCCUCGCGCCGAACGAUAGUCCGGGCCCUGAAGCUCACCCUGGAGGAGGUCCAGCGCCGCCCUUGCCUCUACCAGGGUCCCAGAGGGAGCAGAAGCACCAUGGCUCGGCCACGCGCUGGGCAAGGGAGGAGACGCCCUCGGCACCAAGGCAGAAGAAACCUCAGCCUCAUGAAGGACCGGGGGCUCCAGAGACUGGUUGCCCCUAGUGGCCGCGACAAGGCUGGGCGCUGGAGGGGCCAGGCCUGUCACCUCCUAAGGACGGGCAUCCACAUCCUCCAGAGCCGGCGUUGCCCCUGGGGCUGCGAUACUCUUCUUCACCAGGUCCGCGGAGGUCGCUCCAUCGCCUGCGGCCACGGCGAUCUUCGUACCUUCCCUCUGCUUCUUCAUCGGCUGCUGCCUAGCGACAAGAGAAUACGUUCAGCACCACUUCGAGAACUGGCAAGCAAGGAUAAGGAAGAAGCUUACUGAUCAACGAAGGCAUAUUGCCUCUUCAUGCUCAGCAGCGGGACCUGAGGUGGAGCAGCUAGCGCCGAGCCCUUGGGAGCAGGGGAGCUUGCAGUUUGCGCCGCCCGGGACAACGUCGGCGAAGGUAGGUUGCUGCCCAGAGAAAUCACCGCGGACCUUCUCUUCUUCACAACCGCUCGCUAGUGCUUCUUCAAGGAGGACACCGCAAACCUCAUGGCGACCCCUGGAGGGCGCGGCACCUCCACCUCCGGGGGCUCGCCGUGAUCAUCGUCAUCCGACAGAUCGCGCAGGAGCUCCCUUUGCUCCAGGGCGGAGGAUUCGUCCAUGACAUCAUCCUUGGUGGCCUCGGAGGAUUGGCCAUCGGAGGAGAGGAGCACCAAGGUAGUAGGCGGCAAGGAAGACCCCAGCCGCACAAACCCGAGGUCGUCGAAGACAGGAAUGGCUGCGAUGACCUCCUCGGCGUCGUCACGAUCAUACAACGGGAGCCAGCCCUUUGGAGGUUCGCUCGGGUCCUUUCCCAUCAGGUAGGUCAGCACCUUGUUCAGCUCCUCCUCGACAAGGGGAUCCGGCGGAAGUGGAUCUUGUCGUCAUCACCGCCAAGCUUCCACAAGGGACGGGGGCGGUCUCGAAGCGGCGCGAUGCACUGCUUCAGGAACUCCCUGAUGAGCAUGGCCCCCAUCAGCUUCGCGUCCUUCAGCUCCUUGUCCAUCAUCCUCACGAACGGCGUCAGGGCAGGGUCAGUGAUCUUCUCAGACUUCCACCACUUGUCGGAGACGGGGAACAUGGUCGGCAGCUUCAGCGAGCUCUGGGAGCUCUUGGCAUCCAUCAACACCCACCUCUUCAUGGCGUCCUCCACCUUCUUCCCGGCGUGGGAGAUUGUGUUGCCACCCCAUGCCGCGACGAAGCCGAUGCACCCGACCGGGUUGUCGCCGGUCUUGCGAAGAUAGAAGAAGUGGCGGAACAGGGCAACAGAGGGCAGCACGUCCAUGAACGCCUCACAAUAGAAGGUGAAGAGGGACAGAAGGAGGAUGGAGUUAGCAUGGAUGUGGAGCGCAUGGAGUCCAUACUGGUGAAGGAUGGCGAAGAAGAAAUGGUAGAAUGGAGGCACCAACCCGGAGUAGAUGUUGUGCAUGAAGAAGGGGAAUAAGUUGCUACCCGCGGGCUCCGGGACGGCGGUGGCGACCCGGAGCGUGGUCUCCCCCCACUCAUUGUCGUCGCUCGCUGUCAGGAGGAGCGUUGUCUUGAGCUUCUCCCCUGUCACACAGGGCGCCAUCAGCCCUGGCUCGUACCAGGCGGCACCGGCGGCCGAGGAGGAAUCCGUGGCCUUUUCGGCGGCCAUCAGGCAGGAGAUUUGGUGGAGGAUCGGCGGAUCUGAUGAGCUCUUCUGCUGCGGGGAGAAGGGGAUCUGGAGCAAGACGAAGAGGAGUAAUGAAAGCCUGGCAGCAUGCGGCACCCCCCCUUUUGUCAGACUGGAGCAGUUGCCGAGGCAGCAUGGGGAACCGGAGUCGCCCACGUCCAAUCAAUCGCCACACGUCAUCAAGGCCGCAGGCAGUUAGGGCCCAUGGCGCUCCGCACUUGCCCUUUUGCUUUUCCUGGAAGACAAGUCCGAGCGUGCCUUGGGCCCGGGGGCUACUAUCGACAUCCUGGACUUGGGGGUAUCCAGUCCUGCCUGCCUGCGGCCCACCGCGUGGCUCCAUCGGCGGCCUGGUACGGCCCAGCUUCAACAACAACAUAGCAAGACCCUCGCGAGGGGCCAAGCCUCGCGAGGCGGACGACGUCAAGACCCCUGAAGGAGUUGGCCUCCUCAGGGGCGGAGAGAUUUAUGCAGCUACCUCAUGAGGCUCAGCUGACGUGAGUCGUGACGACCAGGGCCAGGUGGGCGCUAGGCGGACGCAGAGCAUAGGUUUCCUCUUCGGUGCAAGGGAGGCAGGCCACAGGCAUGAAGUCCCGAGGAAGCAGCCAAAGGUUUCCAUUCUGGUGCAACUAGACCAAGACCGCCAGGACGGCAAGACGGAGGUCAUCACCGAGCCCACCACAGCGUCACGGCCACGGGCUUUUCGUAGGCGAAGACUACUUUUGUUAGGAUAGACUAUACUACUUGUCCCCUUUCAAAUCUCGCCGUUGUGGAAUCCCUUCCCACUCAUAUUUGGGAAGAGGACCAAGGCACUAUAUAUAGGAUCUAGCCACCACCAUAGAGGGGGAUGGAUUCCUCCCCGAGCAACACACCAGCUCAAGAACACCUCACCUCCUGAGGCUUGUUCAUCUUUGUACUAGUUCAUCCAUAGCCCCUCGAGGCAAUCCACCACACCACACUAGAGUAGGGUGUUACACCACAAUGGUGGCCCGAACCAGUAUAAAUCUCUGAGUCUUUGUGUCUCUGUGAGCUUUGCGCACUAGGCUAGGGAGGAUCGCGAGUAGGCAGGCUAGGCAGGUUGAGAUCUCCGCCCGCACCCCAGUGUUCGAACCUCUCACGGGUUGCCGGACCCCGAAAUCCGACACUUAGCCUCUUGAUGUUUAAGUUUUUCUCUUAAGUCGCCCAGUUGCGAUUCUUUCAAGGUCAAAGCUUCCUGUGUACAGAAAUAAUAGAUUCAAUUUGGUAUUGAACAAGUUAAGUAUGAUAUAAUUUAAUAAAGUCCCAAGUGCAUUGCAAGCAAUAUACUUGGCACUUGGGGGAUAAUGCAUAUCAUUUCAGUGUCUAUGAGGACCCCGACUCAUCUUGUUCAGAUAAGACGGCCCUUGGGGACUACGGGAUUGGUUCUUAAACAAUGAUUAUAAGACUCGGUUCCUCUUUUCAAGACAAGCUGGCCCUUGAGGGAUAAAUUUUGAAAGGUUUAAGUGAAGUCCCAAAUAUACUCAAUGUCUUGUCCUAUACUUAAGACUUGGAAGCUACAUAAUAUGUACAUGCACUCAAGUGGAGAGAGAUUAGAAGUGUACCUCAUAUUUUUGCUUCAUGAGAUUAACUAAGCCGGCUUCCAUGUCAUGGCUUGCAUGGAGGCGGCUUAGAUAUCCUGCGUGGAUGUCACUGGCACUAUAAGACGAAUAACUCUCAAGGUCCAGCUUAGCUUUGCCUUUCUCCAGUGAAGGUGUUUCUUCCUUGGAUGAAUGCUUGGAUAGAACUCUGGAGACCUCGGGCGGCUUAAAAGCUGACCCGGUAAUAGUAAUGUCGCCAACAUCAGCAGUGGCAGGGCUCUUAUCAGUGGACUUGCCAGGGCUGGGCGCCUUCGGACUUGGCGGAUCUUCAGGAGUGGUCGGGUUGAUCUCAGUAUGCAUUGGCUCAAGCACUAUAGCAUCAAUUUGUGGUGGCGGAUCAUUGGCAAGAUCUUCAGGAUUUUGAAUUGAAGCCUCAGGGGCUUCUGGUGCCUACUUCUCUGGUUCAGCGGCUUGGGGGUCCCUGGAAGAACCACUCACCUUCUGCUUCUUGCCCAUUUUCUCUAUGCCUCUGAGACAAGAACACAAGAAUCCAUGAGCAUAUUACUAUAACGCAAUUAUGGAGAAAUGAAAGUACUUACCCUUGGGAAAUCUUGAAAACAGGCAUUUGAGUGCCAGUAGAGUCGCCGGAUGAGGGAGGUGACCUGAUACGUCUCCAAUGUAUCUAUAAUUUUUUAUUGUUCCAUGCUAUUAUAUUAUCAUUCUUGGAUGUUUAUCAAUCAUUUAUAGUCAUUUUAUAUCAUUUUUUGGUAUUAACCUAUUGACAUAGUGCCCAGUGCCAGUUGUUGUUUUCUGCUUCUUUUUUACAUCACAGGAAAGCAAUACCAAAUGGAGUCCAAACGCAGUGAAAAAUUUUGUGGAUUUUUUCUAGACCAGAAGACACCGUAUGGGACGAGAAAGUACCUAAGGGGAGCUCCGAGGGGAGCACAACCCACCAGGGCGUGCCUGGGUCUUAGGGUUUCUGGAAUAUUGGGGUAUUUAUAGAGCAAAGAGGGGGUGGGGGAGGCCACCGAGGUGGGCACAACCCACCAGGGCGCGACUGGGGGGCCAGGCACGCCCAGGUGGGUUGUGCGCACCUCGGUGGCCUCCCGCACCGCCUCUUUGCUCUAUAAAUACCGGAAUAUUCCAGAAACCCUAAGAGAGUCAACGAAAAUCAAUUCCAGCCACCGCAAGUUCCGGAAACACCAGAUCCAAUCUAGACACCAUCUCGGAGGGCUUCAUCAUGUCCAUUGGUGCUGCUCCGAUGAUGCGUGAGUAGUUCUUUGUAGACCUACGGGUCCGUAGUUAGUAGCUAGAUGGCUUCCGCUCGCUCUCUCUCUCUCUCUCUCUCUCUCUCUCUCUCUUGAUUCUCAAUACAAUGGUCUCUUGGAGAUCCAUAUUAUGUAAGUCUUUUUGCAGUGUGUUUACUGGGAUUCGAUGAACUUUGAGUUUAUGAUCAGAUCUAUGUUUUUAUCCAUGAAAGUUAUUUGAGUCUUCUUUGAUCAUGCAUGAUUUCUUAUAGCCACAUAUUUCUUCUCUGAUAUUUGGGUUUUUUGGGCCAACUUGAUAUAUUUAUGUUGCAAUGGGAAGAGGUGCUUUGUGAUGGGUUCGAUCUUACGGUGCUUGACCCAAGUGACAGAAGGGGAAAUGACACGUAUGUAUCGUUGCUAUUAAGGAUAACAAGAUGGGGUCUAUUUCUACAUAAAUAGAUCUUGUCUACAUCAUGCCAUCGUUCUUAUUGCAUUACUCCAUUUUUCCGUGAACUUAAUACACUAGAUGCAUGCUGGAUAGCGGUCGAUGUGUGGAGUAAUAGUAGUAGAUGCAGGCAGGAGUCGGUCUACUAAUCUUGGACGUGAUGCUUAUAUAAUGAUCAUUGCCUGGAUAUUGUCAUGAUUAUUUGAAGUUCUAUCAAUUGCCCAACAAUAAUUGUUUUCCCAUCGUUUGCUAUUUUUCUCGAGAGAAGCCACUAGAGAAACAUAAGGCCCCGGGGUCUCUUCUUUAUUAUAUUUGCCUUCGCGAUCUAUUUCCCUUUGAUUUUAUUUUCAGAUCUAUUUAACCAAAAAUACAAAAAUACCUUACUGCACUUUAUUUCAUUUGCGAUCUAUUUAUCCUAUCUAUCACAACUUUAUCACGUCUUCUCGCCAAUUUGUGGCAUCGUUACCCAAAAGGGAUUGACAACCCCUUUAACACGUCGGGUUGCGAGUAUAUGAUAUUUGUGUGCAGGGGCUGUUUACAUUGUGUUGCUUGGUUCUCCUACUGGUUCGAUAACCUUGGUCUCAUCACUGAGGGAAAUACCUACCGUCGUUGUGUGAAAGUGCUAGUUAUCGACUAGAGGGGGGUGAAUAGGCGAUUUUUAUCAAAGUCUUCAAAACGUGGAAGUUUCGAAGACAAACAAUAGAAAUGACCUAAUUGAUAUGCAGCGGAAGAUAAACUACAACAAGCAAGCCAUAGUCAAGUAUGCAAUAAUGUGAAAGUAUAAAGAAUAAUAGCAGCUUGGUAGUAAGGAUCAGGAUGGAAGAUAGUAUGAAGCCAAUCAACAAUAACAGUCAAGCAAUGAAGUCAAACAGAUAUGACAAGCAGGCAAUGACUUCACGAAGACAAACUUAAGGUAAAGGGAGUUAGAGGAUAGAACCAGUCACUUGUUGAAGACACAGGAUUUGUUGGACCAGUUCCAGUUGCUGUGACAACUAUACAUCUGGUUAGGGAGGCUGAGACUCAACUCAGAAGACCGCGUCUUCACCUUAUUCCCCUUGAGCUAAGGACACACAGUCCUCGCCCAAUCACUCUGGUAAGUCUUCAAGGUAGACUUCCGAACCUUCACAGACUUCGUUCACCGGUGAUCCACAAUGACUCUUGGAUGCUCAGAACACGAUGCCUAACCGGCUGGAGGAUACACAGUCCUCAAGUGUAAUAAGUCUUCAGGUCACACAGACAGAAAGACUUCAGUGAUGCCUAACACUCUUUGGCUCUGGGUGUUUGGGCUUUGUCCUCGCAAGGAUUUCUCUCUCUCAAAGGCUUCGAGGUGGGUUGCUCUCAAACGACAAAAGCCGUAAACUAACUCUGAGCAGCCACCAAUUUAUGGUGUAGGGGGUGGGCUAUUUAUAGCCACAAGGCAACCCGACCUGAUAUGUCCGAAAUGACCCUGGGUCACUAAGGAACUGACACGUGUUCCAACGGUCAGAUUUCAAACACACACGGCAACUUUACUUGGGCUACAAGCAAAGCUGACUCAUCCAGCUCUGGAUAAGAUUUGCUCUCAUUGUCUUCACUCGAAGACAUAGGAUUUGGGUUGAGCAUCACUUCAGUCAAUCUGACUUUGUUCACUUGGACCCCACUUAACAGUACGGUGGUUCCUAUGACUCAACAAAGAAGAAAAGGAAACAACGAAACAACACAGUCUUCGCGCUCCAUAGUCUUCACUCAUUGUCUUCUCAUGUCAUAGGCUUCAAUGUGAAUAUCUUCACAUACCACCAUUAUCGUCAAUGUCUUCAUACAUUUUUAGGGGUCAUCUCCGGUAGGUAAACCGAAUCAAUGAGGGACACUACCUGCGUUAUCCUGCAAUUCUCACAAACGCAUUAGUCCCUCAACCAACUUUGUCGUCAAUACUACAAAACCAACUAGGGGUGGCACUAGAUGCACUUACAAUCUCCCUCUUUUUGGUGAUUGAUGACAAAAUGGUUGAAGUUUUCAACGGGAAUGAAGUAUGUGAAAUUGUAAAGGAUAGGGUAUUGUCUUCAUAAGUGGCAAGGGCUCCCCCUGAAGAUGUGCAUAUAAGUAAUUUGCUUUUGGAAUGCAAAUGCACAUGGCAGGUUGUACUUGUGGAGAUCCUCUUCAACUUAUGAAGAUAAUUCAUCAUGCAUGAAAUGAUAUAACUAAGAGGAUGACAUGCAUAAUGAAAAAUGGACGUCUGCAGAAUGAUCUAAGUGCGGAAGUUAUCAUCGCACAUGGAAAAGAAAAUAAGUUGCAGACGACCAUCGAGUUUAAGUGUUACAACUCAAAGAAUGAAAUGUAUCAAAAGGAAGAGUUGUAAACACAUAGGCAAAAUAUAAAGCAACCUCCCAUAUGAACCCGCUUGAAGACUAUCAAACUCAUAUGCUUCUCCCCCUUUUGUCAGUAAUGACCAAAAAGGUUCGAAGCCAUAGAGCAUCUACUCGUCCUCAUGAGGAGUAGGUGAAGCAGCAGGGUUGUCGUUGUUGGUUGGCGGUGCAGACGAACUUGGUGCAGUGUCGAUGCGUGCAGAAGUAGGGGGUGGUGAAGUAGCAUCGUCUUCAUCAUCGAUCAUGUUGGCAUUCACAGUUGCCGCGGAGGAAGAAUAGUCAGAGUCUUCAAGGAUGGAGUUCGACGUAGGACAGCAUUCCAUGGAGGAGUGGAGUCAAACUUGAAUAUUUCAGUGAAGCCAUCGUCUUGAAGAUCUGCUUCAACACUGAGCAAUGUCAAACUCUUCCAUGAUCGCCGACAGGUUUCGUGAGUGACAAAUGCAUUCUUGGUGGCAAGAUUUCGAAUGCGAUUUACGUCCACCAAGAGGCUUUGCAUCUAUCGCUUGAGCCAAAAGUGAUGCUUGUCUUGUUUCUGAUGCAGUGCCACAAGAAGUUCUCGGUCAUUUAGGACCCGAGAGCGCUUCUUUGGCCUUUGAGCAAUUGUGCUCUCAGUAGCUUCAGUUGGUGCACGAUGAGGCAGACGAGUGUUUCCAGCCAUCGGAUAGACACAAGUUACAGCUUGGACUCCUUCCAUAGGCUGAGUGAAGCUUUGGUGGUCAGCAUUUUGAAGACAAAGAGGCUUCUUGGCAGGCUCAGGGUAUAUGGCUUCAACUGACAUAUCAACCUCUGGUAGAAAGAUCACAUGAUUGCGAGCAGAGGGCUGAUAGUUGAUAUCAGAGUGUAGCUUGAUGAGGCGCAUGACCCAUGGAGCAUAGAAUUUCAGGCCAAAAAGGUCAGAUCCAGAUGCAGUCAGUUGCCGGAGGAAGAAAUCUUGUGCAUUGAAGCUGAUGGCAUUGAGGAUGUAAAAGACCAAUGUCUUCAUGGCUCCUUCAAGUUUUGCAGCUGAUGAAUGUCCUUUGAUAGGCCAUAGAGUCCGCCUGAUGAUGUGAUAUAUUGUGCGUGGCAGAUACUCAAGGUCAUCAACAAAGAACUCCUUUGGGUAUUCAGUGUCAUGUGGCAAUGGCUUCAUCAUGCUCAACAUCUGGCUCAUGUUGGGUUCUGGCUUAUGGAAGAUGCUCUCUAGUGCAUUGUGGUGGUUUUGAAAACCAGGUUCGUACAGCUCUCCGGGAGUGGAUAACCCUGUAAGCUCAAUGAUGUCAAGAGCUUUGGCUUCAUGAUGAACAUUUCCAGUCAUCCACUCGAGAACCCAUGUCUUUGUAUCCCUGUUGUAGCCGCGAAUGUGGAGGGUAGCAUAGAAUUGAAGCAGAAGUUCCUCAUUCCAAUGUUCUUUGUUUGUCACAAAGCUAAGCAUACCUGCAUCACGAAAGCAGUCAAGUGCUUCUUCUAAGCAUGGCAGUCCUGUAAUGGCUUCAGUGUCGAGGCGCAUAUGAGGGAAAAUGCGCCCUUGAUCAUACAGAACGCAGGAGUAAUAGCUUCGUUGCUGAUGACUCCAGAAAUGAUUAGAUGAUAUUCUUGGCCUUGAGUAGGGGUUCUUUGAGCUGUCAAAGAAGGUGUUGUGGCUUUUGAAGCCAUUUGCAUUGAAGGACCAUGUAGAAGUGGCAGUACCUGGAAACCUUGGCAGUCUUGGCUUUGGUUUCUGGACCUGAGGCCUAUGCUCAAUGUGAUAAUCAAACUAAGGACCAGAGACAUUAGGUGGAGGGAUCAGAACGGGCCAUCUUACUGUGAUUAGCUCGCCAUGGUUGUAUGCUUGCUCAAUUGUAUAGGGCCUUGGUGGCGGAACAGGAGCAGUGGCAACAACAGUGGCUUCAUGUCAGGACCCCGACUCAAAGUCACAUCGAUCUAGCCGGUAACACCUCAUAUCACUUUGCGGCCUCACGCACGGUAUCCCCACGGGUGUCGCCUUACCUCUGCCCGGGACCGUUUGCGCCUUUUGGCUCACGUAUAUGAUGGUGUCGCUAGCAUCCAUAUGAUAAAGAGCCCGGGCUGACAUGACUAGUCGUAAACCCAAAGUGGCACAGACUUACAGGGACAGGCAUCCAUGACCCAGCUUCGAACGUGUCGGUCAUCAGCAAGUGGGUCCGGGCUGUAGCACUGGGCUAGCAGGACUCCGGUAAACCGGGCUGUAGCGGGCUAACAGGACUCCGGUACUCAAAGCGUGACAUUUCCCCAAAGGGACAGACACAGGAACGAAGAAGGACACAUGCCGGCCAGCCUAAGUGUUCCAGAGCAGUAGCAAGCUACCAUGGCUCAGCGGUAACACUAGGAGACAUUUCCUGGUAAGAGAGGCUACUAAAGAUAAACAACUAGAUAGUCAGAUCCCACACAUACCAAGCAUUUCAAUCAUACACACAAUAUGCUCGAUAUGUGCAAAUACAACGAAGCAUCACAACAUGACUCUACGACACAAGUACUUUAUUUAAGGCUCAGGGAGCCAUACAUAACAUACACAAAGGUACGGGUCUCACGACCCAGCAUACAAGUCAUACAGUCAUACAAACCAGCAGCGGAAGUAACUUGUCUGAGUACAGACAACUAGUAAAAUAAAAGAGGCUUGGAAAGCCUAACUAUACUACGUGGUCCUUCACAAGCUCAGGGUCACCACCCGGGUCUUUAACCUACUCGUUGAUGUCAACGUCUACAUAGAACCCAUCAGAAGGGGUUGCAGCGUCUUCUGUAAAAAAUGUAAAUUAUAGCAACAUGAGUACAAAGGUACUCAGCAAGACUUACAUCAGAUCCUACAUACAUGCAUAUUAUCAAGAAGGGUUGGUGGAGUUAUUGCAGCAAGCCAGCUUUGACUCUUGGCUAGACUAUCCUACGAUACUCCAACUUGAAAUGGUUUUGCGCACACGAGUCCACUACUCACCAAUUCAAUACACUACCGAGGAUCCACCUCCGUCUUCCUACGGAAGAGCCAUCCUCGGCACUCACACUUAUCUUGAGGCUUUUAGCAGUUUCCAUUUACUUGUCUAUGAACUGUAUAGGCAACCAAGUAGUCCUUUACCGCGGACGCGGCUAUUCGAAUAGAUCAUGUUAACCCUGCAGGGGUGUACUUCUUCAUACAUGUUUCCACCACUUAGCGUCUGCACACGACAUGUGCUCGGCAGACUUCAAGCGAAAGCCGACGUGGGUGUAGACCACGACCUACCUAAACACUUAAGCCUCUAGUCCAGGUUUAUCGCCUAUUCAGGUUCCAUCCGCAGGGAGUCCGGCCGAGGUUUCCCAUACGGCCCCGAACGAUGUGAACAGGGUUCCCGAGAUACCUAACGGGUAUUCGGUACACCGUGCCACGUACCUACCGCAUCACAGCCCACCCCUACGGUCAGCGCUGUCCACGGCCUCCAGUAGACUACAAACACCAGAAACUACUUGCAACUCCUGGACAGAGAGCUAGGGUGAAACGCGUUGUCUUAAUGCAGUAAAAGAGAGCAGGAGCGAGAACAUGGGAUUGUAUCGAUAUGAUCAAAUGGUUGGUUGCUUGCCUGAUGGGUCGAUGCACUGAUACGGUUCUUCGUUAGGGUAAUCACGGUACUCCUCGGAGGCAGAACCUGUCGCAAAGGACACCGAUGCACAACCAUCACCAAACAAUGUGCAACAAUAUGAUGCAUGCAUGAAACACGGCAAUAUGAGUGUGUUGGGCUAAUGCAACUAAAACCAGAAGGAUUUGAACAAAUUUGAAUCAAGGAUUCAAAUUUCAAAUUCAAAUAUGGCCUUUUAAAGUGCUUUUCCUUGUUCUGCUUGAAACAUCAAUUUAACUUGUUUGAUCAUGCAUGAAAAUAGUACAGAUGGAUAGAUUGGAUUUUUCUGAUCAUUUUUCAUAUAUAAUUUGUCCAAUUUGGAGUUACAGAAUAAAAGUUAUGAAUUUUUGAAGUUUAAAUAAUAUUCUGGAAUUUCCUGAUUUAAAUUAAAUCCAGAAAUAUAAUUAUUGCGCCAGCAUGACGUCAGCAUGACGUCAGUGGUCAACUGCGGCUGGCUGGAGUCAAACCUGACGUGUGGGGCCCACACGUCAGUGACAGGGGGGUUAAACAGAGUUAGUUUAAUCCUAAUUACUAAUUAGUGGCGCUGGGGCCCACUGGUCAGUGUCAGGGGGCUAACUAACAGUGGUUAGCGCUAAUCCUAAUUAGCUACAGGGCUGGGCCCACCUGUCAGGGACUCAGGGGGGGUUCCUGCCGUGGUCAAAGUGGGUCAAACCCACCGGCGACACGACGCCGGCGAGGCCCGAGACGGCGGCGCGAUGCGGGAUCGCGCUACAGGGCACGGGCGAGGCCGUUCUUGGGCUCGUUGGAGAGCUCUUGCUCCCGCGCGUCGAACGGUGGUGGUGGCCGAGCCUGGGGUGGCCGGUACCGUCGACGGCGAGCUCGUGAGCGGCGGCCGGAGUUCGGGUGCGGUCGGAGUCGGCGUUGCAGGGGGUUUGGGGAGGCGUUGGUGCGUGCUGCGUGCUCCUAGUGAGGCGUGGAGCACGAUAGUGUGCUCGGUUGGGCGCUACGGUGACCGUGGCCACGACGGCGACAUCGCCGGCGGCGUGGAGCUCUCGGCCAAGGUGGGGCUAAGGCCUAGAGGUCGAAGGAGACCAGGGGAGAAAGGGGAAACGACUCGGGGGCUCACCGCGGUUGCAGUGGGCGUCGAAGCGGGCUCGGGGACGCGCUGGAGACGGCGAAUUCGACGGCGAUGAUGGUCGGAGCCCGAAGAGGGGAACGGCGACGUGGCGGCGAUGCAGGGCUUCCGGAGGCCCGUGAAGCGGUGGGGAGGAAGAGGGGGUUGUGGCGGAGCUUCUGAGCUAGUCGGGGGAGCGAGGGGUGGCCGGAGACGGCUGCUAUGGCGAACGGCGGCGACGGUGGUGUUCGGCCGUGUGAGAGAGAGAGCGAGGGAGAGGAGGGGAGAGCCUGGGGAGAGUGAGAGAGAGCAGGGGGGAGGCGUGGCGUCGUCCAGGGGCAUCGAGGCGAGGAGGGAAGGGCAGGCAGGCAGGGAGAGAGGUGGCGUGGCGCGGUGGCGCGCGCGCGCGCCGGCCACACUCCCCUCCCUCUGUCGGGACGAAGACGACAGAGGAGGGAGGCAGGCUGGGCCGCCUGCUGGCUGGGCCGGCCAGCUGGAUGGGCUGCACAGUGGAGGAGCCCAGGUAAGCUUCUCCCUUUUAUUUUUUUCUGUUUUCUAAUUUCUGACAUUUGUUCUGAUUUAAAUAAUAUAUUAAAUCAUUUAUUUAACUUAUGCCAAAUUUUUCAGGGGCUAGAUAUAUUAUUCCAGAGCUCCUUUAUAAUUGGCAUAAUAUUUGGACAUAUAUUAAUAUAUAUAGAAAUAUAAUUCCAAAGCAAAUAUUUAUGCAUUAAUUCCAAAUGCCCAAAAUAAAUGUCCAUGAGCCACUAAAAAUAUUGGUUUGAUUUUUAUCUCUGUCCAAUAUUUUCAGAGAUCAACAUGAGCAUUUUCUUGGACCCUUUUGGAGAAAUUUUUAUUUGGGUCAUUUUCAAAAUGAUUCUGAGGGUUUCACAGAUCCCCAUUUCAAGUUUCUGAUGAAAGAGUAAACAUGAUGCAACACUCUAAUGCAUGACUAGCUAGGGUGUGACAACUCACCCCCACUCAAAAGAAUCUCAUCCCGAGAUUUGGGUUCCUCCGGGAAGAAGGCGGGGUACUCGAGUCGAAGACGGUCCUCCCUUUCCCAGGUUGCUUCAUCCUCAGAAUGGUGCGACCAUUGUACUUUGAGGAACUUGAUGUUCUGACGUCGGGUGAUACGUUCGGCCUGAUCGAGGAUACGAACGGGGUACUCUCGAUAUGUAAGAUUAUCUUGGAGAUCAAGCGUUUCGUGGUCCACUUCACGGAUAGGAUCCGAGAAGCAACGCCUGAGUUGAGAAACGUGGAAGACAUCGUGGACUCUGGAGAGAUGCGGAGGUAGUUCCAGCUGGUAGGCAACUUCCCCUCGUUUGGCAAGAAUGCGAAAAGGUCCAAUGUAACGAGGAGCCAAUUUGCCUUUGAUACCGAAACGAUGGGUUCCCUUCAGAGGGGUGACCCGAAGAUAUGCCUUCUCGUCAACCUCGAAAGUCAUAGUCUUAUGUUUUCGGUCAUAUUGACUCUUUUUACGGGAUUGGGCUGUUUUCAACUUCUCACGAACGAUGCGAACUUGUUCUUCUGCUUCCUGAAUCAUGUCCGGGCCAAAGAAUUGUCUUUCCCCGGUCUCUGACCAGUUAAGGGGUGUUCGACACCGUCGUCCAUAGAGAACUUCAAAAGGGGCUUUACCCAAGCUAGAUUGAUAGCUGUUGUUGUAAGCGAAUUCGGCAAAUGGAAGGCACUUCUCCCAGUCCAUUCCGAAUGAGAUAACAGAGGCUCGAAGCAUGUCUUCUAGAAUUUGGUUGACGCGUUCCACUUGACCACUCGACUGAGGGUGGAAGGCGGUGCUAAAGGAGAGACGAGUUCCCAUAGCAUUUUGGAAACUUUCCCAAAAUCGAGAGGUGAAAAGACUUCCUCGAUCCGAGUUAAUUUCCAAAGGAACACCAUGGAGAGACACUAUUCGGGAGAUGUAUAAGUCUGCCAGCUGACUAGCGGUUAUACUCUCACGAACAGGUAAGAAAUGGGCUACUUUGGAAAGACGAUCGACAACGACGAAGAUAGCAUCAUUCCCUCUCUUGGUCCUGGGAAAACCGGUAAUGAAAUCGAUACCAAUUUUAUCCCAUUUCCAUUCAGGAAUAGCUAAGGGUUGAAGGGUGCCAGCAGGCCGUUGGUGCUCUACUUUUACACGACGACAGACGUCGCAAUUUGCAAUAUACUGAGCAAUUUCUCUCUUCAUCCUAGUCCACCAGAACCUCUGGCGUAGGUCCUGAUACAUCUUAGUACUACCGGGAUGAAUGGUGAGAGGGGAUUCAUGAGCCUCCUUAAGGAUCAACUGCCGUAGAUGCUGGUUCUUGGGAACCACUAGACGGUUCUCAAAGUACACCACACCAUGAUCAUUUGUGGAGAAACAACUAGCACCUCCGCUAGCAAUGUUCUCUUUGAUUUUAGAUAUUCCCUUAUCUCGCUUUUGGGCAGCGAUGAUUUGAUCCGUAAGAGUAGGUUUUGCUACCAAGGUGGAAAGAAAACCUUGAGGUACAAUGUGAAGGUUAAGCUUCCAAAAUUCCUCAUGGAGAAGCGGUUGACUUUGUUGUAACAUCAGGUUGUUACAAUAAGAUUUACGACUUAGCGCAUCAGCCAUGACGUUGGCUUUCCCUGGGGUGUAGGUUAUUCCUAAGUCGAAGUCUGUGAUCAAUUCAACCCAACGUCUUUGCCUGAGGUUCAGAUCCGGUUGGGUGAAGAUGUACUUCAAACUUUGGUGAUCAGUGAAUAUUUCGCAACGAUUACCGAGGAGGUAAUGUCGCCAGGUUUUAAGUGCAUAGACUACAGCUGCAAGCUCUAGAUCAUGAGUAGGAUAAUUCUCCUCAUGUGGGUGCAGUUGCCGUGAAGCGUAGGCAAUUACGUGUCGAUCUUGCAUGAGAAUGCAACCUAGUCCUUGUCACGAGGCGUCGCAGUAGAUAACAAAAUCCUUGGAGAAGUCUGGCGGUACCAGUACGGGAGCAGAAGUCAGGCGUCUUUUCAGUUCCUGAAAGUUGUGCUCACAUUGUGGAGUCCACUCGAACUUCUUAUCUUUCUUGAGGAGUUCGGUUAGAGGUUUGGCAACCUUGGAGAAAUUCUCGACAAAGCGACGACAAUAGCUCGCUAAGCCCAGAAAACUCCGAACUUGCUUGACCGAUUCAGGUGGAGUCCAAUUAAGGACGGCUUGAACUCGCUCAGGGUUAACAGCAAUACCUUUACCAGAUAUUACAUGACCCAGAUAGGUCACUUCUGACAACCAGAAUUCACAUUUAGAAAAUUUGGCAUAAAGGCGAUGCUCUCGGAGUUUCUGCAACACUAGCCUUAGAUGUUCGGCAUGUUCUUCCUCGUUCUUGGAGUAGAUGAGUAUAUCAUCGAGGUAAACCACGACGAAUUUAUCCAAAUACUCCAUGAAGAUUGAGUUCAUUAACCGAGAAAAGGUGGCUGGAGCGUUGGUUAAACCGAAGGACAUGACAGUGUACUCGUAUUGGCUGUAACGAGUAACAAAGGCCGUUUUAGGGAUGUCCCCGUUUUUGAUUUUGAUUUGAUGGUAGCCCAACCUCAAAUCCAUCUUGGAGAAGACUGAGGAUCCAGCGAGCUGAUCGUACAGGUCGUUGAUCCUGGGAAGCGGAUAUUUGUUCUUGAUUGUGACCAAAUUGACAGGUCGGUAAUCUACAACCAUCCGGUCCGUACCAUCCUUCUUCUUGACGAAUAGGACGGGGCAAGCCCACGGAGAUGAGCUAGGUCGGAUGAAACCCUUUUUCAAGGACUCAUCGAGUUGUUUCUUAAGCUCGGCUAGUUCUAGGGGUGCCAUCUUAUAAGGUCUUCUAGCAAUCGGAACGGUUCCUGGAAUGAGGUCUAUUACGAACUCAACAUCCCUGUCAGGUGGAACACCUGGCAAUUCUUCUGGGAAGACAUCCGGGAAGUCACGGACUACCGGAACGUCCUCAAGGUCUGGCAAAGGGCUGGCGUUAAGAGAAUAUAAUUGUCGCUUGGCUAUUCGGGUCAAGACAUUGACUAUCUUCCCCGAAGGAUGGGUGAGUUGAACAGUCCUAGAGAAGCAAUCAAUUUUGGCUUGAUGAGCUGACAUCCAGUCCAUACCCAAAAUGAUAUUAAUAUCUGAAGAUUUAAGGGCUAUCAAAGACGCGAGGAAAACAAGUCUGUCGACUUGGAUUUCAUUUCCAUGGCUUACUCUAGAAGUUUGCCAUUUGGAUCCCGGAGUUUGAAUUACCAUAGAGGUUGGCAUAACACCGAAUGCGACGUUAUGCAAGCGAGCAUAGUUUUCGGAUAUAAAAGAAUGAGAGGCUCCUGUAUCGAAAAGAACAGAUGCCGGGUGGCAAUUAACAAGAAGCGUACCGAGAACGACGUUGGGAUCCUCUUGAGCUUCUUCGGCAGAGAUACAGUUGACAUGGCCACGUGAAGCGGUGACCGGCUUGGCGUGGAAUAUUUUUCCUGUCGGCUUGCCACGGCCAACAGCUUUAGCAGACUGGUUGGGGUUGGUCUGGGGACACUCACGCAUAUAGUGACCAGAUUCCCCACACUUGAAACAAGUCACGGAACUGGUACGUGGAGGAGCAUUGUUAGUUGGACCCCCAUAGGGCUUGGCUGGAGCAGACUGUUGAACAGGGCGAGGCGCUUGGAAAGAUGGCCUCGGUGUGAACCUGGGUGGCAGGGCGGUGUUGGGUACCCACACGCGGCACUUCUGAGGACCAGCACCGGAUGAGGAACCCAUGUCACGGCCAUGCUUGCGUGUUGCGUCAUAGUCAGUCUGACCAGUUUCAGCACUGAUGGCUUUGUUGACAAGUUUCUGAAAAGAUGUGCACUCAUGCAGACGGAGGUCGCGGCGAAGCUCAGGACUAAGGCCCUUACGGAACCUUGCUUGCUUCUUGACGUCAGUAGAAACUUCCUCGGUUGCAUAUCGUGCCAGGUUACCAAACUCCCUGCUGUAAGCAUCCACAGAAAGUCGGCCUUGGGUGAAACUGCAAAAUUCUUCACGUUUACGGUCCAUAAGACCCUCCGGAAUGUGAUGUUCACGGAAAGCCUCGCUGAAUUCAGCCCAAGUAGUGACAUGGCCCGCCGGGCGCAUAGCUCCAUAAUUCUCCCACCAUGGACUGGCGGGGCCUUCAAGAUGAUAUGCAGCAAAGGUGACCUUGUCAGCCUCCGCUACCAGCGCGGAACGCAGUUUGUGAGAGAUACUGCGAAGCCAGUCAUCAGCGUCGAGAGGCUCGACGGAGUGGUGGAACGUGGGUGGAUGUAAUUUGAUAAAAUCACUGAGUGACACCACGUUAGUCCUCUGAUGGUGUGCUGUGUUUUGUUCAAUACGCUCCAACAAACGGUUGGUCUCCCGCUUGUUUCUCUCAGCUUCCAUCAUAACCUCGGCUAGUGAAGGAGGAUGAGGCAGAUUUGCAUCCCUGGCUUCACUGCCUUCGGCCUGCUCUUGAGAAGCAGGGUUAGCGCGCGUGUUGACCAUCCUAGGUAAACAAGACAAUGAUUUAGUCAGGAUGAUAAAAUUCCGACAUAGGGUAAAAAUGUAAGGAAUAACUCGAAAUGCAAGAUGAUCAUCCGUAUGACAUGGUAGAUACAGAAACUGCUUCUUUAUUCCAUCGUCAUACACACCAUACAGGGUUUAGUACAAGACCAAACAAGUACUAUUACGGUGAAAAGAGGAUUACAUCUCAUCGGAGGCAUCCCAAGCUCCUAUACAUUAUUUUCUACACCUCCGGAAAGAGUACAAACUAGGUCAUAUCCCACGAGUCACGCGGGACGAUAGACGACACAGCUAGUGCGAACUAGUGAUACUACCACUAACUCAGACCGAUCCGUAGUAGUCCUCGUAAAAGUCACCUCCAUAGCCUGGGAGCUCAACAUGAUCAUCCGGAAACAGACGAUCUCGCGGAGCUUGUGGACCAUAGGGACUAGGAUGAGGCCUUGGACCAACAGACGGUGGCCUGCGGGGACCGCGAGGUGGGGUGAUGCCUCCUACAUCACGCCAAACCAUCACAUCUGGCAGAGCAGAUCUCGCAGGAUAGAGAUCGCGCAUAUCUGAAUAUCCAGCUUGCACCGCCGGUGCGAACCGAGUCAAAGUGGCCCAGUGGUCAGCACGGGUAUUGAAGAGCUCUAACCUCAAGGCCCGAUUUUCACGGUCCUUAUCCUCGAGCAUCUCAGCAGUGGUGCGAGUCCGUGAAUCCUCCUGGGUGGGGUCAGCAUAAAUAGCCUGGAGAUACCCUUGUGCUCCCGGAAGUGAUCCUGGCAUAUACCGGAAGUCAGAGUCCCGAAAUAUACCAGAUCUGACUCGCAUAAUGGUCAUCAUAGAGUAGGCGGCGUCCUGCACCGCCAUCUCAAUAGUAACCCCGAGUCCAUAGGAGCAGUGAAGAGGCUCGGUGGAUCCAGGAUAAGAUGGAAAUAUCCUGACAGUGCAGAGAUACUGGCUUUGAUUAAAGUCUCGGAAUUGCUCUUCGACCGUGUACUCAGGAUACCAGCGGUAUCCAGCCUCAAUCAUUACCCUGACCAACUUGGCAGUAUGGCCGGGUACAUCUAGGCAUCGAGUCAGGCGAACCACUUGAUUGAGGUCGCGAGUGGCCAUCUGAAAGCACAAUCAUAAUGCAAAGGCAUUAGAAUUUCUAGCAAAAUUUCGGCAGCAUAACAGCUGUAAAUGCUCAAGAAGGAUUUUGAGACAUUUGACAAAGGAUUUCAUACACACUUAACAUCAUCAUAUCCAAGUUCUGAGACCAUCCUAGCAACAUAAUAUGGUAAAAGAACUGAACUAGGCUUGUAUCCUUCAUACCUAUAAGGUACUACUGAUUAGUAACACGUGAUCCUGAUAGAGAGAAUAGAUCCUAAUUCCUUAACCCCCGGUGGAAGAAUGGACUGACUCAGAUCAGAAUGUCAUAAGAUAAAGGAGUAAAAAGAGCCUUACGUUCCAACCCACAAACAAUUCCCCUACAUAUAACUAAAGAAUUUCUAGACUCAACAUCGACCAGUUUGGCUUGGAGAACCUACAGGCAGUCCGGCUCUGAUGCCAACGCUGUCAGGACCCCGACUCAAAGUCACAUCGAUCUAGCCGGUAACACCUCAUAUCACUUUGCGGCCUCACGCACGGUAUCCCCACGGGUGUCGCCUUACCUCUGCCCGGGACCGUUUGCGCCUUUUGGCUCAUGUAUAUGAUGGUGUCGCUAGCAUCCAUAUGAUAAAGAGCCCGGGCUGACAUGACUAGUCGUAAACCCAAAGUGGCACAGACUUACAGGGACAGGCAUCCAUGACCCAGCUUCGAACGUGUCGGUCAUCAGCAAGUGGGUCCGGGCUGUAGCACUGGGCUAGCAGGACUCCGGUAAACCGGGCUGUAGCGGGCUAACAGGACUCUGGUACUCAAAGCGUGACAUUUCCCCGAAGGGACAGACACAGGAACGAAGAAGGACACAUGCCGGCCAGCCUAAGUGUUCCAGAGCAGUAGCAAGCUACCAUGGCUCAGCGGUAACACUAGGAGACAUUUCCCGGUAAGAGAGGCUACUAAAGAUAAACAACUAGAUAGUCAGAUCCCACACAUACCAAGCAUUUCAAUCAUACACACAAUAUGCUCGAUAUGUGCAAAUACAACGAAGCAUCACAACAUGACUCUACGACACAAGUACUUUAUUUAAGGCUCAGGGAGCCAUACAUAACAUACACAAAGGUACGGGUCUCACGACCCAACAUACAAGUCAUACAGUCAUACAAACCAGCAGCGGAAGUAACUUGUCUGAGUACAGACAACUAGUAAAAUAAAAGAGGCUUGGAAAGCCUAACUAUACUACGUGGUCCUUCACAAGCUCAGGGUCACCACCCGGGUCUUUAACCUACUCGUUGAUGUCAACGUCUACAUAGAACCCAUCAGAAGGGGUUGCAGCGUCUUCUGUAAAAAAUGUAAAUUAUAGCAACAUGAGUACAAAGGUACUCAGCAAGACUUACAUCAGAUCCUACAUACAUGCAUAUUAUCAAGAAGGGUUGGUGGAGUUAUUGCAGCAAGCCAGCUUUGACUCUUGGCUAGACUAUCCUACGAUACUCCAACUUGAAAUGGUUUUGCACACACGAGUCCACUACUCACCAAUUCAAUACACUACCGAGGAUCCACCUCCGUCUUCCUACGGAAGAGCCAUCCUCGGCACUCACACUUAUCUUGAGGCUUUUAGCAGUUUCCAUUUACUUGUCUAUGAACUGUAUAGGCAACCAAGUAGUCCUUUACCGCGGACGCGGCUAUUCGAAUAGAUCAUGUUAACCCUGCAGGGGUGUACUUCUUCAUACAUGUUUCCACCACUUAGCGUCUGCACACGACAUGUGCUCGGCAGACUUCAAGCGAAAUCCGACGUGGGUGUAGACCACGACCUACCUAAACACUUAAGCCUCUAGUCCAGGUUUAUCGCCUAUUCAGGUUCCAUCCGCAGGGAGUCCGGCCGAGGUUUCCCAUACGGCCCCGAACGAUGUGAACAGGGUUCCCGAGAUACCUAACGGGUAUUCGGUACACCGUGCCACGUACCUACCGCAUCACAGCCCACCCCUACGGUCAGCGCUGUCCACGGCCUCCAGUAGACUACAAACACCAGAAACUACUUGCAACUCCUGGACAGAGAGCUAGGGUGAAUAAGAAGUCGAGCGGGGUCAUAUUUCAGGGCCCAAUGCAUGGUAGUAGCUGUAUCUUAAAUCACACAUACAGAUCUCAGUGCUUAAGGUCGGCUUCAAUGAAACAACCCACCAUGUACUCCUACAUGGCCUCUCAUCGAUACCUUUACCAAAUCGUGUUCACCUCACCACUCUUAUUACCGACAUAAUCAUUUCACUCUAGCCCAUCACCCAGAUGAACCAGACCUGACACGACUCUAAGCAUAGCAGGCAUAGCAAGGUAGGAACAACACAUACAUAUGGCUCAAUCAACUCCUACACAUGCUAGUGGGUUUCAUCUAGUUACUGUGGCAAUGACAGGUCAUGCAAAGGAAAUGGGUUCAACUACCGUAGCACACAGCAGUUUGAAACGCGUUGUCUUAAUGCAGUAAAAGAGAGCAGGAGCGAGAACAUGGGAUUGUAUCGAUAUGAUCAAAUGGUUGGUUGCUUGCCUGAUGGGUCGAUGCACUGAUACGGUUCUUCGUUAGGGUAAUCACGGUACUCCUCGGAGGCAGAACCUGUCGCAAAGGACACCGAUGCACAACCAUCACCAAACAAUGUGCAACAAUAUGAUGCAUGCAUGAAACAUGGCAAUAUGAGUGUGUUGGGCUAAUGCAACUAAAACCAGAAGGAUUUGAACAAAUUUGAAUCAAGGAUUCAAAUUUCAAAUUCAAAUAUGGCCUUUUAAAGUGCUUUUCCUUGUUCUGCUUGAAACAUCAAUUUAACUUGUUUGAUCAUGCAUGAAAAUAGUACAGAUGGAUAGAUUGGAUUUUUCUGAUCAUUUUUCAUAUAUAAUUUGUCCAAUUUGGAGUUACAGAAUAAAAGUUAUGAAUUUUUGAAGUUUAAAUACUAUUCUGGAAUUUCCUGAUUUAAAUUAAAUCCAGAAAUAUAAUUAUUGCGCCAGCAUGACGUCAGCAUGACGUCAGUGGUCAACUGCGGCUGGCUGGAGUCAAACCUGACGUGUGGGGCCCACACGUCAGUGACAGGGGGGUUAAGCAGAGUUAGUUUAAUCCUAAUUACUAAUUAGUGGCGCUGGGGCCCACUGGUCAGUGUCAGGGGGCUAACUAACAGUGGUUAGCGCUAAUCCUAAUUAGCUACAGGGCUGGGCCCACCUGUCAGGGACUCAGGGGGGGUUCCUGCCGUGGUCAAAGUGGGUCAAACCCACCGGCGACACGACGCCGGCGAGGCCCGAGACGGCGGCGCGAUGCGGGAUCGCGCUACAGGGCACGGGCGAGGCCGUUCUUGGGCUCGUUGGAGAGCUCUUUCUCCCGCGCGUCGAACGGUGGUGGUGGCCGAGCCUGGGGUGGCCGGUACCGUCGACGGCGAGCUCGUGAGCGGCGGCCGGAGUUCGGGUGCGGUCGGAGUCGGCGUUGCAGGGGGUUUGGGGAGGCGUUGGUGCGUGCUGCGUGCUCCUAGUGAGGCGUGGAGCACGAUAGUGUGCUCGGUUGGGCGCUACGGUGACCGUGGCCACGACGGCGACAUCGCCGGCGGCGUGGAGCUCUCGGCCAAGGUGGGGCUAAGGCCUAGAGGUCGAAGGNNNNNNNNNNNNNNNNNNNNNNNNNNNNNNNNNNNNNNNNNNNNNNNNNNNNNNNNNNNNNNNNNNNNNNNNNNNNNNNNNNNNNNNNNNNNNNNNNNNNNNNNNNNNNNNNNNNNNNNNNNNNNNNNNNNNNNNNNNNNNNNNNNNNNNNNNNNNNNNNNNNNNNNNNNNNNNNNNNNNNNNNNNNNNNNNNNNNNNNNNNNNNNNNNNNNNNNNNNNNNNNNNNNNNNNNNNNNNNNNNNNNNNNNNNNNNNNNNNNNNNNNNNNNNNNNNNNNNNNNNNNNNNNNNNNNNNNNNNNNNNNNNNNNNNNNNNNNNNNNNNNNNNNNNNNNNNNNNNNNNNNNNNNNNNNNNNNNNNNNNNNNNNNNNNNNNNNNNNNNNNNNNNNNNNNNNNNNNNNNNNNNNNNNNNNNNNNNNNNNNNNNNNNNNNNNNNNNNNNNNNNNNNNNNNNNNNNNNNNNNNNNNNNNNNNNNNNNNNNNNNNNNNNNNNNNNNNNNNNNNNNNNNNNNNNNNNNNNNNNNNNNNNNNNNNNNNNNNNNNNNNNNNNNNNNNNNNNNNNNNNNNNNNNNNNNNNNNNNNNNNNNNNNNNNNNNNNNNNNNNNNNNNNNNNNNNNNNNNNNNNNNNNNNNNNNNNNNNNNNNNNNNNNNNNNNNNNNNNNNNNNNNNNNNNNNNNNNNNNNNNNNNNNNNNNNNNNNNNNNNNNNNNNNNNNNNNNNNNNNNNNNNNNNNNNNNNNNNNNNNNNNNNNNNNNNNNNNNNNNNNNNNNNNNNNNNNNNNNNNNNNNNNNNNNNNNNNNNNNNNNNNNNNNNNNNNNNNNNNNNNNGGCUGGGCCGCCUGCUGGCUGGGCCGGCCAGCUGGAUGGGCUGCACAGUGGAGGAGCCCAGGUAAGCUUCUCCCUUUUAUUUUUUUCUGUUUUCUAAUUUCUGACAUUUGUUCUGAUUUAAAUAAUAUAUUAAAUCAUUUAUUUAACUUAUGCCAAAUUUUUCAGGGGCUAGAUAUAUUAUUCCAGAGCUCCUUUAUAAUUGGCAUAAUAUUUGGACAUAUAUUAAUAUAUAUAGAAAUAUAAUUCCAAAGCAAAUAUUUAUGCAUUAAUUCCAAAUGCCCAAAAUAAAUGUCCAUGAGCCACUAAAAAUAUUGGUUUGAUUUUUAUCUCUGUCCAAUAUUUUCAGAGAUCAACAUGAGCAUUUUCUUGGACCCUUUUGGAGAAAUUUUUAUUUGGGUCAUUUUCAAAAUGAUUCUGAGGGUUUCACAGAUCCCCAUUUCAAGUUUCUGAUGAAAGAGUAAACAUGAUGCAACACUCUAAUGCAUGACUAGCUAGGGUGUGACACUUCAGGCUGCACAACAGAAGCUUCAGGAGCAGUUGCAGCAUUGACUUCUGGCAUGUUGCUUGGGGCAGGCUCCACAUUAGCUUCAGCCAUGACUACGUCAUAGGCUUCAUUUGUGUUGGUGGUGGCAGCCUCAACGUUUUCAACCUCCACUUGUUGAGCUGGAGGGUCUGGCACAGACACGUUCACUUCAGGAACAGCUUCUUCAGUGAUGGGGGAGUAGGGACACGUUCUUCUUGAUGUUCGUCAUCGGCUGAUGCAGCCGGAUUGUCUUCAGCAGCUUGGGCUUCAGACACGGAGACAUUCACAGUAGGAGUGGCUUCUGAAAACAUGACGUGCAACAGGUUGGUGGUGCACUUCUCCUUCUGAACGCUCGGAAGAGGGACUUGAGGGCCUUGGUCCUUUGUGAAGCCUUUGUAAUACAGGCGAUGCCUUUGGAGAUGGAGUUGGCUGGGCCUCAUCCUCUUCAACUUGCACAGAUGGUGUGACUUGUUGUUGUUGGGGAGUACUUGGGGAGUCUUGUUGUUGCGGGCGAUCAGCCCAUGAUGCAUCAUGAGCAAUUGGAAUCAGAGGACAACCAAUGCUGAUGAUUUUGCUGUUCGUGAGAACAGGCGAUGAUACCACGUUGUGUUCAAUCUGAGGAAGAACUUCAUCAUCUUCAACAUUGUCAUGGUGACCAAUGUCUUCAGCAGCGAUACGAUCAACUGCUGGAAUCUCUUCAGCUUCAUAAGCCUCUGUGGAGGCAGGCUUGUGAACAAUCAUUCGUCGUUCUUGGUGUUCAGAUGCAGGGCGAACCACUGAGAUAGGUUCAACAACUAUGGGCUCUGUGGGAGCAGCCCGAUUCUUCUUGAUCUUGCGCUUCUUCUUGGAGGGAGCAGCAUCAGAGGCUUCUGAGGUUUUCCUUUUUCUGGCUUCAGCCUCUGCAGCCCUCGUCUUCUUCUGUUCUGAAGCGGUUGACAUGGCCUUUGGCUUCGAGCCAGUCAUGCUGCUUGGGAAGACUAUACGAGGUUCAUCCUGCCUCGAAGGUGCAGGUUGGACAGUUGAUAGCUUCUUAUUCUUUGCAACCAUUCUGGGGUUGAUGCCAGGAUGACCAAGAGCCUUGCGCUUCUCAGCCUCAUUGUAGGCUAGCACACACUUGUCAGCCAGAUUCUUCGUGCGCUCUCGAGAGCCUCGAGCUUCUUCACGCUUCUUGUGAAAGGCUUCUUUGAGCUCGUGCAGCAUGAUCUUGAAGUUUUUGACAUCUUGCACGCUGAGCGUGGCCACAUGCUUCUUGAACUGAGCCUUUUCAUAGUUGAUCUUGUGCUUCAGUUCGACGAUGCACUGAGCAAUAGCUAGCUCAGAAGCAAUAGCGCCAUUGAAGGAGACGCUGAGGCUGAUGGGAAGUUUCAAAUCAUCAAAGCUGAGAUUUGGUGUGUCAAACCACUCAUUAAUGAAGUUAUGGAUGAUUGCCAUGUCAAAGAGAGGCAAAUUAUUGAAGAUCUCUGCUUCUUCCUUGCUCUUGAUCAGUUGCUCAAGAGCAUCAUCUGCAAGAUCGUCAUCGUUGGACAGAUCAAUGUGUUCUUCACGCAGAAUGGCAGCAGGAGUCAAUGUCUGAUCAGUAUUCUUGACGAUUUUCUUUUUCUUCUCCGUCUUCUUGGAGAUGCGUGAAAGAUCUUCAGACUGCACACUGUCUUCAGGAGGUGCAGUGGCCAGUGGCUUCACAGGUAAAGCUUUUGGAGGUGCAGCUGAUGUUGAAGCCUUAAUCUUCUUUAGCUUCUGCGGCUUUGGAGGUGGAGGUGGGGCUUCAUCAGUGUCAGCAUCAUUUUCAGAAUGAUCCACUUUGGCACCUUGUACCAAGAUGUAUGAGAUGAGGCCAUCGAGGUUUGAAAAGGGGCCGAUUUCAUUGGGUUCCGCAUCACGUGAGCCGUCAUCACGGGGAGCAGAGGGACCAGGAUUGAAAUCUAAUCCCCAUGACUUCUUGUUUUCCUUUGCUGAUGCCUUUGCAUGCUGGAAGUUGCGCUUGAAGAGAUUAUCGUCACGACACCAGAGCAAUGAUGAUGGAUCGGCAUUUUCAGGCUGUGGUCCACGGACCAUACAAGGAUAGAAUUCUUGUGCAAUAGCUUCAGCUCUGUUCUUGGGGGGAAGGCCUCGAUAGAGAAUAUCACUCCAAGGACUUUUGAUAGCAUUCUUCUCAGCGUACUCCUGGGUCACGAACUUGUACUUGAACCAUUGUUCAGCCCAAUAUCGUCGAAUCCAUUGGAUUCGGGUCUUGCGCUGAUUGUAAUCCUCAUCAGGAUCUAUCUUGUAAAUUUCUGCGAGGUCAUCAGGAAAAUCUUUUGAUGUUCCCCCUCGAUGCUGUCUGCCACCCUUCCUCACUGACUUCUCUGCAGCCAUGAACUUCAAACUGAAUGGCUUCAAUAUGUUCAAAGGCUUCAAGGGCUUUCGCUUGCUGGUCAAACAGGAACUAGCUUCAGGAGAGUUAAUGUGUUGCUGUAGGAAUUCUGCAAACGAAUGCAGACUAUGAGAACCAAGGGAUUCUCCCACAGACAUGUACCUGUGUUAGCAUUAGAGAUGCGAGGGAAGGGGAAGAGGUCAUAUGCAUUCUCAGAAGAUUUUGAAGAUAAAUCAGUUUGAAGACAUUGACCUCAUGUUGCAAAGACAUUCACUUAUAUGUCGAGAGUUGGUUCCAGAUUUGUACGAAUCCGUGAAUAAGUACAAGUGAGGAAUCUAACUAGAUAUGAAGCUUAAGUGAAUAUACUAGGCAGUAUGAGAUGCAGACAGAAUAGAUCUAACAUCGUAUAGGCAGCGACCAAUUUUGGUAAAUAGGAUGAAUCAUUGAGGAUCAAAAAGAUGGUAAAAAUAGAGUUAUAUUUACCACACGAAGAACUGCUAGAUGGGAUGAAUAGGAGACGAGCAGUUCAAUCCACCGUGCCCUAACUUGGCGACGGAGGACACCUACGGCGGCGGCGGAGAGGACGAUGUCCGCGGCCGGCGUGAGGACGGUGUCGGAGAAGUCGCGGCAGCUAAGCACUUCGUCGCCGGCGUUGUCGUGAGCUAGCGGUGGCGCUAGGGUUUUGACGAGGUGGAGAGGUGGAAGAAGGUUUUCUUGACCGCAGGGGACACGUAUUUAUAAGAAGGUGUGCGGCAUAGCGCAAUUAUGCAGGUGCCCCUGCCUGUUCACAUCUGAGGGACACGUGGCAAGCAUGCAACAUACUUAGAGUUGUCCCACGUUCCCACGCCCGCCAAGUUUGUCGGAUGGUUGUUCCGGCUUCUCCGGAUUUCAACAAUAAUGAUGAAUCAUUUAAAAAGACUUGAUGUUUGUCUCUGUGUCUUCUGCUGACAAGGAUGCAGAGAAGACAUUCGACAGUUUCAAUAGAAUGCUUAUGAUUUGGACAGAUAGAUUUUGAGAUAGUAAGCAUAGAGAGAUUAGGGUCCGAUCACAUUCACUUAGUUCAAAAGAUUCAACAAGGAAGACAUAGCUAUAAGUGAAUGCUGUAGAGGACUGAAUACUAGUAUAUAGAUAUAUAUGAGAAAGCAAUCAAAUCGACAUAGUGAAGUAAAUCAUGAAGAUAAGUUGAAAGUUGAAGACAAACCAAAUGCGAAGAUAUUCAACAAUAACGCCAUGAGUGAAACACUUCAAACCAAGAAAUUUGGUGGUGGCGUUACCCACCGUAUAGGAAGUAUUAGACCCAGACACGGCGCACAAUUAUCGUGGCGCUCCGAAGUCAAAUUCCACGUUAAUGUAUUCACACUCAGAAUAUAAGUCUUCAUUGAUUGAAGAUAUACUUUACUUUGUGUGUUGCACAUCUAAGUCAUCAACAUGCAUAAGUGUUAGGAUGUGUGCCUGAUCACAGGACAUUUGAGGAUUCCAAGAUAUUUAGCUCACACCAUAACUUGCAAAACCUUUUCUCAUCCAAGGGCUUUGUGAAGAUAUCUGCCAGUUGCUCUUCAGUGUUGACGUGAAUGAUGUCAAUAUCUUUCUUCAUGACAUGAUCUCUGAGAAAGUGAUGACCAAUUUCAAUGUGCUUUGUCUUCGAGUGCUGGACUGGAUUGUUGGCAAUCUUGAUAGCACUUUCGUUGUCGCAGAAAAGAGGUACUUGUUUCAGAUUGAUGCUAUAGUCCUUGAGAGUUUGCUUCAUCCACAGAAGCUGAGCGCAACAAGAUCCAGCAGCAAUGUGUUCAGAUUCAGCAGUUGAGAGUGAUACACGGUUUUGCUUCUUUGAAGACCAACAGACAAGUGAUCGUCCUAGAAAGUGACAUGUGCCUGAUGUAGACUUGCGAUCAACCUUGUCUCCAGCAUAAUCAGCAUCCGAGAAUCCAACCAGAUCAAAUCUUGAGCCCUUUGGAUACCAUAAUCCGAGUGUUGGGGUGUAAGCCAAAUAUCUAAGAAUUCGCUUCACAGCUAAGUGAUGUGAUUCCUUUGGUGCCGCUUGGAAUCGAGCACACAUGCAAACACUAAGCAUGAUAUCUGGCCUAGAUGCACAUAGGUAAAGUAAAGAACCAAUCAUGGAGCGGUAUACCUUUUGAUCGAACUCUUUACCAUUGUUGUCGGGACCAAGAUGGUGUUUGGCUGGCAUUGGCGUCGUGUAACCUUUGCAGUCUUGCAUUCCAAACUUCUUCAGACAGUCUUUGAGAUAUUUUUCUUGAGAUAUGAAGAUGUCAUUCCUUUGCUGACGAAUUUGAAGACCAAGAAAGAACUUCAGCUCACCCAUCAUGGACAUCACAUAUUGCUCUUGCAUCAUGUAUCCAAACACAUCACUAUACUUCUGGUUGGUGCAGCCGAAGAUAAUGUCAUCCACAUAUAUUUGGCACACAAACAGUUCACCAUCAUAUGUCUUCAUGAAGAGUGUGGGAUCGAGGGAUCCAGGUUUGAAGCCUUUGCUCUUCAGGAAGUCUUUGAUCGAAUCAUACCAAGCGCGAGGAGCUUGUUUGAGGCCAUACAGUGCUUUGUUUAGUUUGUACACCAUAUCAGGAUGUUUUGGAUCUUCCAAGCCAGGUGGUUGAGCAACGUACACUUCUUCUUCUAUCUUGCCAUUGAGGAAUGCACUCUUCACAUUCAUUUGAUAUAGUAGGAUGUUGUGAUGGUUAGCAUAGGCUAGCAGUAUGCGAAUAGCUUCAAGCCUAGCUACAGGAGCAAAUCUUUCAUCGAAGUCAAUUCCUUCAACUUGAGUAUAUCCUUGAGCCACAAGACGUGCUUUGUUUCUGACGACUUGACCAUGCUCAUCUUGCUUUCGACAUAUCCAUUUUGUGCCAAUAAUGUUAUGCUUGUGAGGGUCAGGGCGCUUGACAAGUUCCCAAACAUUAUUCAGCUUGAACUGUUGAAGUUCUUCUUGCAUGGCUUGAAUCCAUUCAGGUUCCAUAAAGGCUUCAGCAACUUUCUUGGGUUCUGAUAUUGACACAAAUGAAAAAUGCCCACAGAAAUUUGCUAACUGUGUUGCUCUUCAGCGAGUAAGUGGACCAGGCGCAUUGAUGCUGUCAAUUAUCUUCUCAAUUUGUACUUCAUUAGCAACACGAGGAUGAACUGGACGAAGACCUUGCUCUUGCUGAUCAUUGUCUUCGGUCUGAGCAUUGUCUUCAGUCUGGUUUGGUGCAGAAAUGAUAAGUUCCUCUUCAGGCUGUGCUUCAGAGGGCAUGAUUUCACCUGUUCCCAACAGCUUGAUUGAUUCGCUGCAUGGAGCUUCAUCAAGUGUACUUGGCAGGAGCUCUCUUUGUGAACCAUUGGUUUCAUCAAAUCGCACGUCCAUAGUUUCAACGAUUUUGUAGUGAUAGAGGUUGAAGACUCAGUAAGAGUGCGAGUCCUUUCCAUAACUGAGCAUGAAGCCUUCGUGAGCUUUAGGUGCAAAUUUUGACUUGUGAUGAGGAUCCUUGAUCCAGCACCUAGCACCAAAGACUCUGAAGUAGCUGACAUUUGGCUUCUUGCCAGUAAGGAGUUCAUAGGAUGUUUUGCUCAGAAGCUUGUGGAUGUAAACAUGGUUGAUGAUGUGACAUGUUGUAUCAAUAGCUUCAGGCCGGAACUUUCUUGGUGUCUUGUACUCAUCGAGCAUUGUUCGAGCCAUCACAAUGAGGGUUCUGUUUUUGCGCUCAACAAUGCCAUUUUGAUGAGGUGUGUAUGGAGCAGAAAACUCAUGAGUGAUUCCCAUUGUAUCCAGAUAGAGAUCAAGCCCGGUGUUCUUGAAUUCAGUGCCGUUAUCACUUCUGAUAUGCUUGAUCUUGACACCAUAAUUGUUCAUGGCUCGAUUGGCGAAGCGUCUGAAGACAUCUUGUACUUCAGUCUUGUAGAGAAUUAUGUGCAUCCAUGUAUAUCUUGAGUAGUCAUCAACAAUGAUGAAGCCAUAGAGACAAGCUGUUGUUGUGAGGGUAGAGUAGUGAGUAGGGCCAAAUAAGUCCAUGUGUAACAGCUCGAAGCGUUGAGUUGUCUUCAUGAUUGUCUUCGAGGGGUGCUUUGCCCUAGUCAUCUUUCCAUCUUCGCAGGCACCACACAAAUGAUCUUUCUUGAACUUGACACCCUCGAUGCCUAUGGCAUGCUUCUUCUUGACGAGUGUGUGUAAGUUCCUCAUGCCAGCAUGCCCCAGCCUCCGAUGCCAGAGCCAGCAUUCUGAAGCUUUCGCAAGAAGACAUACGGCAAGCUGUGGACCUGCUGAGAAAUCUACCAUGUAUAGGUCAUCUUUCCGAUACCCUUCAAAGACUAUAGACUUCUCAGAUUCCAUUAGUACAAGGCAAUGAUAUUUUCUGAAUAGCACAAUCAUGUUCAAGUCACAUAGCAUUGAGACAGACAUUAAGUUGAACCCAAGGGAUUCAACAAGCAUCACUUUAUCCAUCUGUUGAUCCUUUGAGAUUGCAACUCUACCUAGACCCAAUACCUUGCUUUUACCAGUGUCAGCAAAUGUGAUGUGACUCUUGUCAGAUGGACGUAAGGUUGAGUCCAUGAGAAGACUUCGAUCACCAGUCAUAUGAUUAGUGCAUCCGCUGUUCAUAAUCCAUUCUGAAGCACGAGGUGUCAUUGCCUAUAGUGCAGUUAGGAGGAUAGGCUUCACAAGGUAUGUUGUGAAGCAUAAGCAUUUGACGCACACAAGGAUUAUCACAGCUUAGAUCAAGGUUAGAACACACAGUAUGACAGGUAAGCGAUUCAUAUGUGAACUACAUAGUAAGUCAUUUUAUCAUGCAUCCCUUAAUGUGUUUCAGGUCCGCAGCAAUAGUAUCGGACGCCUUUGAUUGCUGGUUGGAGACCAUAUUCUGCAAAAGAGAGUUAAUUCUUCUUCACCACCCACAUCUUCAGGGGUGGCUUAGAAGCAAUGAGUCUAAGUGCAGCAUCUGAGAAUUUCGGCUUUGAAGCCCUAGCAAAUAGCCUUGUAGGAGAUGAAUGAUACUCAUAUGAAUAAGCAGAAAAGUUCUUAGUCCUAUGAACAUAGUGGCUUGAAGACACACGUUCAUAUUCAUAAGUUUGAGUAUGAUUUCCCUGCAAAACAUUGGCGUUAGGGUGACUCAGGUGAGUCCUGUAUCUAUAUGAAGCCGUUGGACCAUAUGACGCCUUAGGUCUGGGGUUUGUCUUCUUCCCUGGUGGUGUCAUGAUGACAUUCACUGGAAGAUUCUCAAGACAGCUUUUGGGAACCCAGAUCUUCUUCAUAGGUGGUCCAUUCCUGCAGUUAGUACCAAUAUACCUGGCAAGCACUUCACCAUUCUGAUUUUUGAAAAGUUUAUAGUUUGCAUCAAAGGAUUAUCAAUGAUAAUAGGAUUAGCACAGGUAAAGCCAGAUAAAGUGGAUGGAUCCACUGAAGGUUCCUUUGCAGCAACCCAUGUGGUUUUGGGAUACUGCUCAGGCUUCCAGUAGGAACCAUCAGCAUUCAUUUUCCUCUCGAACCCAACACCCUCUUUCCUAGGGUUUUGGUUCAGAAUCUGCUUUUUGAGGACAUCGCAAAGUGUCUGAUGUCCUUUCAGACUUUUAUACAUCCAUGUUUCAAGCAAUGUCUUCAACCUAGCAUUUUCAUCAGCAAUAGUAGUGAUAUCCUCAAUAGAGGGGUUAGCUGCCACAUCAGUAGUUGAAGACAGAGCAACAGUAGCAGCAGUGGAACAUUUAGCAACAGAGGUAGCAUUAUCACGCUCAAUGCAUUUUAGACAUGGUGGUUCAAAUCCAUCCUGUGUAACGCUGAUUUGUUGAGCAAGUAAUGAAUCGCGCUCCUUCUGAAGAUCUCCAUAGUCCACUCUUAUCUUUUCAAGAUCUUGCUUUCUUUGAAGACAUUCAGAAGAAAGCUUCUCGUGAUCAGACAAGAGAGCAUUAUGUUGAUCUUGAAGGUCGUCAAACUUGGAAUGAAGUCUCUGAAGACUCUCAGCCAAUGCUUUUGACUGAUCCAUUUCUUCACCCAACAUAUCAUCGCUCUUACUAAGCAUGUUUUGAACCUUUUCCAAGGCUCUUUGUUGUUUAGUGGCAAGGGAAGCAAGUUUGACAUAGCUGGGGCCAAAUUCAUCACCUGAUUCAUCACUAGUUUCAGAGAGGUAGCAUUCAGUUACCUUAGCACCCCCUGCCAUGAGGCAUGGUGAAGAUGAAGACGAUUCAGGUGGAAAGGUCAUCUCUUUAAGAGACUCCUUGUAGUCAUCAAGCCAAGGAUCAUGACGAUUAAGAUGACCUUCAUAGACCUCAGAAAGGCGGUCCCAGAUUAGCUUCGCAUGAUUGAGGUGCAUGACGUUCCUGAACUGAUUUCAGGAUAGAUAGGAGCAGAUGACAUCCUUCGCUGUGAGGUUUAGUAGAGUGUACUUGCGAAUGUCAUCAGCCUCUGCCAUCUUGCAUAGAUCGGUAAGACCAAUCUCAGUGACGGUCCACAGUUCGCUAUCCAUAGCCAUGAGUUGCUUCUUCAUCAUGGCUUUCCACCGAGGAUACUCAUGACCGUCAAAGGUGGGGCAAGAUACAUUCCUCAAUCCUGCAGUCGACAUAGCUAAACUCCAGGUGGUUAAACCGAAUCACAAAGAACAAGGGAGUACCUUGCUCUAAUACCAAUUGAAAGUGCUAGUUAUCGACUAGAGGGGGGUGAAUAGGCGAUUUUUAUCAAAGUAUUCAAAACAUGGAAGUUUCAAAGACAAACAAUAGAAAUGACCUAAUUGAUAUGCAGCGGAAGAUAAACUACAACAAGUAAGCCAUAGUCAAGUAUGCAAUAAUGUGAAAGUACAAAGAAUAAUAGCAGCUUGGUAGUAAGGAUCAGGAUGGAAGAUAGUAUGAAGUCAAUCAACAAUAACAGUCAAGCAAUGAAGUCAAACAGAUAUGACAAACAGGUAAUGACUUCACGAAGACAAACUUAAGGUAAAGGGAGUUAGAGGAUAGAACCAGUCACUUGUUGAAGACACAGGAUUUGUUGGACCAGUUCCAGUUGCUGUGACAACUGUACAUCUGGUUAGGGAGGCUGAGAUUAAACUCAGAAGACCGCGUCUUCACCUUAUUCCCCUUGAGCUAAGGACACAUAGUCCUCGCCCAAUCACUCUGGUAAGUCUUCAAGGUACACUUCCGAACCUUCACAGACUUCAUUCACCGGCGAUCCACAAUGACUCUUGGAUGCUCAGAACGCGACGCCUAACCGGCUGGAGGAUACACAGUCCUCAAGUGUAAUAAGUCUUCAGGUCGCACAGACAGAAAGACUUCAGUGAUGCCUAACACUCUUUGGCUCUGGGUGUUUGGGCUUUGUCCUUGCAAGGAUUUCUCUCUCUCAAAGGCAUCGAGGUGGGUUGCUCUCAAACGACAAAAGCCGUAAACUAACUCUGAGCAGCCACCAAUUUAUGGUGUAGGGGGUGGGCUAUUUAUAGCCACAAGGCAACCUGACCUGAUAUGUCCGAAAUGACCCUGGGUCACUAAGGAACUGACACGUGUUCCAACGGUCAGAUUUCAAACACACACGGCAACUUUACUUGGGCUACAUGCAAAGCUGACUCAUCCAGUUCUGGAUAAGAUUUGCUCUCAUUGUCUUCGCUCGAAGACAUAGGAUUUGGGUUGAGCAUCACUUCAGUCAAUCUGACUUUGUUCACUCGGACCACACUUAACAGUACGGUGGUUCCUAUGACUCAACAAAGAAGAAAAGGAAACAACGAAACAACACAGUCUUCGCGCUCCAUAGUCUUCACUCAUUGUCUUCUCAUGUCAUAGUCUUCAAUGUGAAUAUCUUCACAUACCACCAUUGUCGUCAAUGUCUUCAUACAUUUUUAGGGGUCAUCUCCGGUAGGUAAACCGAAUCAAUGAGGGACACUACCUGCGUUAUCCUGCAAUUCUCACAAACGCAUUAGUCCCUCAACCAACUUUGUCGUCAAUACUCCAAAACCAACUAGGGGUGGCACUAGAUGCACUUACACUGUGCUGCAUCAUCCCUUCCUCUUUGAGGAAAUACCGACAUAGUUCAAGCAGGCAUCAAAAGGAAUUUCUGGCGCCGUUGCCGGGGAGGAUCAUCAACAUCAACCAGGUUCCUAAUCACAAAUCUAAUAUCCUCUCAAUUUACAUUAUUUGCCAUUUGCCUCUCAUUUUCCUCACCCCCACUUUACAAAAAAUUGCCGUUUUAUUCGCCCCUUUUUUUGUUCGCCCCUUUUCUUGUUAGAUCUCUUGUUUGCUUGUGUGACCAUGUGUCUUCUAUUUGCUUGCAUCUUCGCUUGCUAAAAAUCUAUUGAUAUGGAUCCUCAUCCACUAGCUAAUCUUUCUAAGAGAUCUAAUUAUGUUGAACCAAUUGCUAGUGAUUUGAGUGCACUUGAGUAUCUUUAUGAAGUUUUACAUGAGAUCUAUGAAUCUGGAAAUUGUGAUGAACUGUUAAAAUAAGAAAUUGAUGAAGUGAUUCAUGAUAGAUCCUUGAAUGAAAAGCAUGAUUGCAAUGAUGUUAUAAUAAAUUCUAUUAAUGUCAAUUGUGCUAAUAAAAUGGAAAACCACAAGCUUGGGGAUGCUAAUAUUGCUAUGUCCACUACUUAUUGCAAUGAUCAUGUUUGGGGCGAUAAUGUUUCUUAUGAUCUUGAAAUUUUAUUUAAACCUCAUGAUGAAUAUGCUUGUGAUAAUAUUAAAAGUGAGUUUGGAAGAGUGUCAACUUUAGGUAAAAAUAAUCCCACAUAUUUGGAGAGUGUUCAAUCUUAUGAAUUUUUUGAUGAAAGUGGGAUUGGAGAGGUCAUGACUUUAUUUGAUGAUAAUCCUACUAUUUUGGAAGAGUGUCAACUUUGCAUGCAUGUGGAUCAUGUUGAGAAUAUUCUAUGUGAUAGCUAUAUUGUUUAAUUUUAUUAUGAUCCCACAUGGAAUUAUUAUGAGAGAGUAAAAUAUGGUUGUAGAAAUUUUCAUGUUACUAAAUUACCCCUUGUUGUGUUGAGAUCGUCAACGUUUUAUUCUUCUACCUUGCAUAUGCUAGAAGUUUCUCGUCUUGAUAAUUUGUUUGCUUAAAAAAUGCCUAUGCAUAGGAAGUAUGUUAGACUUAAAUGUGUUUUUCACAUGUUACAUGAUGCUCUCUUCGUGUUUCAAUUACUAUCUUUUAUGUGAGCAUCAUUGAAAUCUUAUGCCUAGCUAGGGGCGUAAAACGAUAGCGCUCGUUGGGAGGCAACCCAACUUGUAUAUUUUUAUUUUUGGUUUUCUUUCUAUUUUCAAUAAAAUACCCAAUUAUGCCUCUGAUUAGAUGUGCUUUUGUGGUUUAAAUUAGUUUUUGUGCCAAGCAAAGCCUUUGGGAUGAUUUGGAUGAGAGGUGAUUUGAUCUUGCUGAAAAACAUAAACUUUUGCUCUCACAAAAUUAUUUUUAAUUUUUAUAAGAAUAGUGUUUUUGAGUUUUUUCUUUUUGCAUAAGAUUAAUAAACAAAUUAUUCACGUCGUCCUAAUUUUUCAGAAUUUUUGGAGUUACAGAAGUAUUCGAAGUAGUCAGAUUGCUACAUACUGUUCUGUUUAUGACAGAUUUUGCUUUCUUUGCGUGUGUGCUUGUUUUGAUCAUUCAAUGGUUUUAUUUGAAGAGUUUUUUCCAUAGCAAAGUUCGAAUAUAGUAGAUAUAAUGCAAAAAUAAAAUAUGAAUGAGUUUGCAACAAUACUUAUAGUAGUGGUUUGCUUUCUUAUACUAACGGAUCUCACGACGGUUUUGUUGAGUUUUGUGUGAUUGAAGUUUUUAAGUUUUGGAUGAUCUUACGAUGGAUGAAGGAAUAAGGAUUAGCAAAAGGCUAAGCUUGGGAAUGCCCGAGGCACCCGAACAUAAUAUUCAAGAAGUAGCAAGCAACUAAGAUUGGGGAUGCCCCCGAGUGGCAUCCCCUCUUUCUUCUAACAACCAUCGGUAUUUUACUUGGAGCUUUAUUUUUAUUCAUCACAUAUUAUGAGUUUUGCUUGGAGCGUCUUGUAUGAUAUUAGUCUUUACUUGUCUUGCUUUGUGUUUUAAGUCUUCAAUCCUUGCUGGAACACUUUUUUGAGAGAGCCAAAAAUUAUGCUAUGCUUGCUCCUAUGCUUCAUUUUAAUUUUUAGAGCCUUGGAAUUGCUCUAGUGCUUCACUUAUAUCUUUUAGAGCACGGUGUGCUUUGUUAUUUUUGAAGAAAUGCUCUCAUGCUUCACUUAGAAUUCUUUGGGAGUUAGUAAAUUUUAUACGAAAUUCUCUCUUGCUUCACUUAGAUUAUUUUGAGAGAAAGAAAUAUUAUGCUCAUGUUCUUCACUUAAAUUUGUUUUACCUUAUUAAAAGCAACAUAUGAAAAUAGUACCAAAGUGAUAGAUAUCCAAGGAGGAUAUAAUAAAAACUUUCAUGAAGAUCAUUGGACAAAAUAAAAUUGGUUCUUAGUCGUGGUUUUGAGAUAUGACGAUAUGAUAUGUGAGUCAUGUUGAUGAGUAAUUGUGCUUUAGUAAGAAUAUUGGUGUUAAGGUUUGUGAUUCCCUAUGCAAGCACGAAAGUCAAUAGUUAUAUAGUGAAAUUUAUAUUCUACUUGUGGUGCAUUAUUCGGUGUUACUUGCUUGGGUAUGAGAUUUUUCGUUUCUUGGUUGAUUCUUUUUGUUAGCCUACAUUUUUGCACUAAGUAUGAUUACUACUUGUGCAUCCAAAACCCUCUAAAUCAGUUUUGCCAUAUGAGUCCACUAUACCUACCUAUAUGCGGUAUUUCCGUGCCGUUCUAAGCAAAUUUGCAUGAGCCAUCUCUAAUUUUCAAAAUAAAUUUCUCAUUUGUGUGCUCAUACCGCUCGUGAGGCGGUGAGGGGUGGCCGAUAUUUUCCAUGCUAGAUGUGUUAUUAUCACGAUGAGUGUUUAUUCACUUGUCAUUACACGAGAGUACGACAAAGUAAUUAGGGACGCCCAGUCCCGAAUUGAAAAAAUGAAUUUACUUUAUGUUGUCAAAUAAUAAAUUACUUGGGAAGUGUUGGUAUGGAGGGCACCAGUGGAUACGGAUAAGCCAUGGAAAGUGAAAGAAUGGUGGAAAAAGGAAUAAACUUUAUUUUCUGUUUGGGAACCGCCUAUGAUGUAUCUAGCAUGGAAAGUGUUGGGAGCUCUAAGUCGUUUUUGUUGGUGGGAAAAGUAUACUUUGUGAUGGGUUCGAUUUUACGGUACUUGAUCCCAGUGACAGAAGGGGAAACGACACGUAUGUAUCAUUGCUAUUAAGGAUAACAAGAUGGGGUCUAUUUCUACAUAAAUAGAUCAUGUCUACAUCAUGUCAUCGUUUCAUUGACGUCGUUGGUGCUCGUUGGAUCGAGGCCCGCGCCCACCCUCACCCCCGUCCCCCUUCGGCCAUUGACUCAUGGCACUUCUGCGCGAAGCACGGACGGCAGUUCAUGAAGGGGUGGGGUGCUAACCUAGGUCGGGACCUCCGUGAACACAAGAAGACGCUGUUAUCCGCGAUCCAGGCCCUUGACUUGCGUGCGGAUGCGGUGGGUCUUUCUCCUGACGAGUGGCUCUCCUGGUAUGACCUGGAGGACCAGCUCUCCGUUAUUUACACCGAUGAGGAGGCCUAUUGGCGCCUCCGUGGUGCCCAGAAAUGGGUCUUGAAGGGCGACGCGAAUACGGCAUACUUCCAGGCCAUCACCAACGGCCGCCGUAGACGCAACACCAUAGCUCUCUUGUGGGAUGGUGAGACUCUCCUUCAAGACCCUCGCGACAUCCGGUCCCACGUCGAUGGAUUCUAUAGAUCCUUAUUCUCUGCCGCCCCUAGAAGCGGCCUCUCCCUAGCUCCCGAUUGUUGGUCUGGUCCCCAGUUAGUCUCUGCUUCGGAGAACGCGGCUCUUACGGCCCCCUUUUUUGAGCGUGAUGUCUGGGGUGCCAUCAAGGGCAUGAACCCAUCCUUGGCACCGGGUCCUGAAAGUGCUUUAUAUCGACUAGAGGCGGGGUGAAUAGGCGAUUUUUAUGAAUUCUUCACUGAGGAAUUUGCCGGUGAGGAAAUUCCUUAGCGAAGAACUACUUGCAGCGGAAUAAGUACUCAGAAGUAAGCAUAACAGAAUACAGACAUAGUCAUCAUGAUGAAAUGGAGACAAGCACAGAUUGCAGAAAGCGUAAUCACAGGAUAACACAAGAUGAAGACAAACAGACUGAAGAAAUUGAACUAAGGAAAUUGAGAAAGUCUUCAGUCAAAGUCUUCAAACACAGAUAUGAACAAUCACUCAACAUAGUAAUGAGGAAAUGAAAGAGUUGAGGAAAUAGAACCAGUAAGGUUGGUGAAGACAAUGAUUUGAUAGACCAGUUCCAACUGCUGUCUCAGUUGUACGUCUGGUUGGAGCGGCUGAGUAUUUAAACUCAAGGACACAUAGUCCCGGACACCCAGUCGCUGAGCAUGCAGCUCAAGACACCAAGUCCUCACCGUAUUCUCCUUGAACUAAGGUCACACAGACCUCAUCCAAUCACUCGUGGUAAGUCUUCAGGCGACUUCCAAACCUUCACAGACUCGGUCACUCGACGAUCCACAAUUCCUCUUGGAUGCUGUAGACCAUGACGCCAAACCGUCUGGAAGAAGCACAGUCUUCAAAGGUAACAAGCGUCGGAUCCACGCAGGAUCAAUCUCUUCAGUGAUGCUCAAUCACUUUGGGUUUGUAGGUGUUUGGGUUUGGGUUUUUCCUCACUUGAUGAUUUUCGCUCAACGUCCUUGGAGGAUGGGAUGCUCUCAAAUGACAAGUGUCAGUUUCUCUCGGAGCAGCCAACCAGCUAGUGGUUGUAGGGGGCGGCUAUUAAUAGCCUAGGGAGCAGCCCGACAUGAUAAGACAUAAAUGCCCUUCAAUGAUAUGACCGUUAGGUGGAUAAGAUAUUUUGGGACAGCUGGCGCGCAGCACAGCAACGGUCGGAAAAUUGACUCUCAAAUUCCUCAGGGCUAUCAUGUUCCUCACUGUGUAGGCAAUCCGCGAAUUCCUAACUCCUCAGUCAGAACAAAUUCCUCAGCGACCAAAAGAACGUUGUCUCUGUCACUGAAGAAAUUGACUGAACUAUAUGAGAUUUCCAAAGGCUUCACUCGAAGGGAUUGUGUCAAGCCCAAUAUGCGACCCUAUCCAAAAGGAACUCAAAGGUCCCACCAAGGAUAGAACCGCAUAUUGAAACGCUUUUGCAAGGUGGAUAUCAUUACAUCAACAUUACAUAAUAGAUGGGGAUACAUACAUAAGGCAUACAAUGCCACAUUAAUACAACAACAUACAUGAGAACAACAUCCGACUACGGAUGAAACAUAAACAGAAACUCAAACGACAUCCACCCUGCUAGCCCAGGCUGCCGACCUGGAGCCUAUCCCAUGAUCGAAGAAGAAGCAGAAGAAAAACUCCAAGACAAGCAAAACAUUGCUCUCGCGUCAUGAUCAUCGCAUAACCUGUACCUGCAACUGAUGUUGUAGUAAUCUGUGAGCCACGAGGACUCAGCAAUCCCAUAACCAUGGGUAUCAAGACUAGCAAAGCUUAAAGGGAAAGGAAGGGGUAAAGUGGUGAGGCUGCAGCAGCGACUAAGCAUAUAUGGUGGCUAACAUAUGCAAAUAAGAGCGAGAAGAGAGCAAAAGGAACGGUCGUGAAGCUAGCAAUGAUCAAGAAGUGAUCCUGAACUCCUACUUACAUCAAACAUAACCCAAAACCGUGUUCACUUCCCGGACUCCGCCGAAAAGAGACCAUCACGGCUACACACGCGGUUGAUGCAUUUUAAUUCGAAUCUUGUGUCAAGUUAUCUACAACCGGACAUUAACAAAUUCUCAUCUGCCCCUAACCGCGGGCAUGGCUUUCGAAAGUUUAUACCCUGCAGGGGUGUCCCAACUUAGCCCAUGAUAAGCUCUCGCGAUCAAUGAAGGAUAUACCUUCUCCCAGGAAGACCCGAUCAGACUCGGAAUCCCGGUUUACAAGACAUUUCGACAAUGGUAAAACAAGACCAGCAAAGCCGCCCGAUGCGCCGACAAAUCCCGAUAGGAGCUGCACAAAUCUCGUUCUCAGGGCACACCGGAUGAGACAUCCUACGAGUAAAACCAGACCUCGAGUUUCCUUGAGGGGGCCCCGCAGUCUACUCAGUUCGACCAACACUCGAAGGAGCACUGGCCCGGGGGGGUAAAAUAAAGAUGACCCUCGGGCUCCGGAAACCCAAGGGAAAAAGGGCUAGGUGAGGCAAAUGGUAAAACCAAGGUUGGGCCUUGCUGGAGGAGUUUUAUUCAAAGCGAACUGUCAAGGGGGUCCCAUAAAUCACCCAACCGCGUAAGGAACGCAAAAUCCAGGAACAUAACACCGGUAUGACGGAAACUAGGGCGGCAAGAGUGGAACAAAACACCAGGCAUAAGGCCGAGUCUUCCACCCUUUACCAAGUAUAUAGAUGCAUUAAUUAAAAUAAGAGAUAUUGUGAUAUCCCAACAUAAUCCUGUCCACCAUGGAGCAAUCUUCAACUUCACCUGCAACUAGCAACGCUAUAAGAGGGCUGAGCAAAAGCGGUAACAUAGCCAAGCAAUGGUUUGCUAGGAAGGGUGAAAAGGUUAGAGGCUGAACAUGGCAAUUUGGGAAGGCUUGAAGAACAAGUGAUAGGUAGCGCGGCAUAGCGAUAGAAUGAAUCAACUAGCAUAGCAAUGAUAGUAUUGAGAUCCAGGGUAGCGGUCAUCUUGCCUGAAAUCUCGCAAGGAAGAAGAACGAGUCCAUGAAGAAGACGAACGGGCGUAGUCGAACGAAUCCUCACAAUCGCAACAUUACCGGAGCUAAGAAGCAACACCGGAAAGAAACAAACAACAUGGUAAACAACCAUCACAUAACCAUGGCAUGAUGC
rnacentral:lncRNA from 1 species